GCCUCACAGAGCACGAAGCAGCUUCCGGCGUCUGCUGCAGCGGUGGCGGAGAGGCGGCGAGCGGAGAAGGCCGAGGAGGGGCUGAGGACCGUCAUGUACCUCGGUUGCUGGGGUCCCAAUUGUUAGAUGUGUAUAGUCUCUUUCUGGUUUAUCCCCAUUGUAUAAGGGGUUUUCUGCACUUUACCAUACAUGUAUAUGUAUUGGCCUUUGGCCCUCAGUAAAGUUAGUUGCCCAUUCCUAACAUGGUAUCAGAUGCAUAGGUUCCUCUUCUGUUCCCGCACGCUCGCAGCUCCGUGCCUAGCUCCCCCGUCGCCGGCCUCCCUCUACCUUGUCGCCGGCGCCGGCCACCUCCUCCCUCGCCCCCGGCUCUCUCCUUCCCCGCCGCCACGCCGUCUCGCCCCGGCCCGCGCUGUCCCGAGCUCGGCCGCGGCCUGCCGUCGCUGUCUUGCGCCGCCCCGAGCGCGGCCGCGGCCUGCCGUUGCCGCCUCGCGCCGNNNNNNNNNNNNNNNNNNNNNNNNNNNNNNNNNNNNNNNNNNNNNNNNNNNNNNNNNNNNNNNNNNNNNNNNNNNNNNNNNNNNNNNNNNNNNNNNNNNNNNNNNNNNNNNNNNNNNNNNNNNNNNNNNNNNNNNNNNNNNNNNNNNNNNNNNNNNNNNNNNNNNNNNNNNNNNNNNNNNNNNNNNNNNNNNNNNNNNNNNNNNNNNNNNNNNNNNNNNNNNNNNNNNNNNNNNNNNNNNNNNNNNNNNNNNNNNNNNNNNNNNNNNNNNNNNNNNNNNNNNNNNNNNNNNNNNNNNNNNNNNNNNNNNNNNNNNNNNNNNNNNNNNNNNNNNNNNNNNNNNNNNNNNNNNNNNNNNNNNNNNNNNNNNNNNNNNNNNNNNNNNNNNNNNNNNNNNNNNNNNNNNNNNNNNNNNNNNNNNNNNNNNNNNNNNNNNNNNNNNNNNNNNNNNNNNNNNNNNNNNNNNNNNNNNNNNNNNNNNNNNNNNNNNNNNNNNNNNNNNNNNNNNNNNNNNNNNNNNNNNNNNNNNNNNNNNNNNNNNNNNNNNNNNNNNNNNNNNNNNNNNNNNNNNNNNNNNNNNNNNNNNAUUGAGCCAGCCAAGCCCGAUCUCGAUCUGGAUCGGGGUCUCCUGUAGCAGUCUACUGUAGCAGUUGACCAAAAAAAAAGAGAGAGCUCCUCAUGUCUUCUUCGGGCUAUGUCGUCGUUCCUCGGUGCUCGGUGAUCUUCGAUGGCACCAACUAUGCCGAGUUUGCGGGGUUUAUGCGUAUCCACAUGCGCGGUCUCCUUCUGUGGGGUGUUCUCUGGCGAGGUCCCCUGUCCGCCUUGCCCUGUUGCUCCAGUGGCUCCUAUCCCGACAGCACCGCCGGUUCUUGCUGCUGAUGCUUCUCAGGCUGAUCGCGAUGCCGCCAAGGCUCUCGAUGAUACUGCAGUUGAUGCCUAUGAUCAGCAGAUGUCAGCCUAUUCGGAUGCCCUUUCUGCCUAUCGUGAUGAUCUGUCUGCUUACACUCAGUGGUGCAAUGAUGAUGCUCGUGCUGUUGCUGCUGUUCUUACUGCGAGUGUCCUUCCUCAGUUUGCCUCGGAGUUCAUGGGACUUGGCACAUUUGCAGCGAUGUGGUCUUAUCUCUGUCAGCGCUAUCAGCCCUCUGGUGAUGCUCUCUACCUAUCUGUGGUGCGUCAAGAGCAUGCACUCCAGCAAGGUGAUUCCUCUGUUGAUGAGUUCUAUUCACCGUGCUCUGCCAUCUGGCGUCAGCUUGACUCUCUUCGGACCGUCGUUUGUCGAACUUGCCGUUGCUGUCAGACUACACGGUCCGAUUUGGAGUUUCAGCGGGUUCAUGAGUUCUUAUCUCGUCUUCGCUCUGAGUUCGAGCCUCGCCGUGCUCACCUGCUCGCUCGUGGUCGUGUUCCUAUCUCGGAGGUACUUGCCGAGCUUCGUGCUGAAGAGACCCGCCUACGCUCUGCUGGGUUACUUGUGGUUCCAUCAGUGUUGGCCACCCGAGCUCCUCUGCCACCUACUCGCCUCACUGCUCCACCGCUCCUGCCUACUCCUUCAGGGGGUGGGUCGUCCUUCUUAUGCUGAGAGGGGCCGGUCGCGCCGUAACAUCUUCUGUGGCUACUGCUCUCGGCCAGGUCACCCAGAGUCUGAUUGCCGUGAGAAGAAGCGAGACCAGAGGCGCUCCUCUUCCAAUGGGACUCCUGGAUCCUCCUCGACCCCGUCACUCACUGACCAGGACAUUAUGAGGCUCAAGCGUCUCUUAGCUUCCUCAGGCUCUUCGUCGACCGGUUCCGCUGCUGCUGUGACUACAGCCACUGCUCCCCCACCACAGGCAUCUACACAGCCAGGUACAUCUUCGUGGGUUCUGGAUUCUGGCGCCUCUUUUCAUAUGUCUUCUGAUUCUUCUGUGUUGUCUUCUCUCCGACCUCUUGAUUCGCCUGUUAAUGUUCUUACCGCUGAUGGCACACCUCUUCCUGUUGCUAGCCGUGGUCUUCUUUCCACUCCAUCUUUUUCUGUUCCUAGUGUUUCACAUGUUCCUCGCCUCACCAUGAAUCUUUUUUCCGCUGCCCAACUUACUGAUUCUGGUUGUCGUGUCAUUCUUGAUACCGACUCUUGCUCCAUUCAGGAUCGUCGCACCAAGGCUUUGAUUGGUGCUGGCCCCCGGCCCCGUGAGUCAGAGGGCCUUUGGGAGGUUGACUGGCUUUGUGUUCCUUCCGCUGCCACCACUUCAGCCAGCUCCCAUGCUCUUGCUACCUCUUCGUCUGUGUCCUUCCAGCAGUGGCAUCAUCGCCUUGGUCACCUAUGUGGCUCUCGCUUGUCUUCUUUAGUUUGUCAGGGCCUCUUAGGGUCUGUAUCUGGAGAUGUUUCUUUAUCGUGUACUGGCUGCAGACUUGGCAAACAGACCCAGUUACCUUAUUCUACCAGUGAGUCGGUAUCUCAGCGUCCUUUUGACUUAGUUCAUUCUGAUGUAUGGGGUCCUGCUCCCUUUGAUUCGAAAGGUGGUCACCGCUACUAUAUCUUGUUUAUUGAUGAUUUCUCUCGCUACACUUGGCUCUACUUUAUGAAAUCUCGUAGCGAGGUUCUCUCUAUAUACAAACGUUUUGCUGCCAUGGUUUGUUGGAAAUAUGCCCUAGAGGCAAUAAUAAAUUGGUUAUUAUUAUAUUUCCUUGUUCAUGAUAGUCGUUUAUUGUCCAUGCUAGAAUUGUAUUGAUAGGAAACUCAGAUACAUGUGUGGAUACAUAGACAACACCAUGUCCCUAGUAAGCCUCUAGUUGACUAGCUCGUUGAUCAAUAGAUGGUUACGGUUUCCUGACCAUGGACAUUGGAUGUCGUUGAUAACGGGAUCACGUCAUUAGGAGAAUGAUGUGAUGGACAAGACCCAAUCCUAAGCAUAGCAUAAAAGAUCGUGUAGUUCGUUUGCUAGAGCUUUUCCAAUGUCAAGUAUCAUUUCCUUAGACCAUGAGAUCGUGCAACUCCCGGAUACCGUAGGAGUGCUUUGGGUGUACCAAACGUCACAACGUAACUGGGUGACUAGAAAGGUCCAUUACGGGUAUCUCCGAAAGUGUCUGUUGGGUUGGCACGGAUCGAGACUAGGAUUUGUCACUCCGUAUGACGAAGAGGUAUCUCUGGGCCCACUCGGUAAUGCAUCAUCAUAAUGAGCUCAAUGUGACUAAGGAGUUAGCCACGGGAUCAUGCAUUACGGUACGAGUAAAGUGACUUGCCGGUAACGAGAUUGAACAAGGUAUUGGGAUACCGACGAUCGAAUCUCGGGCAAGUAACGUACCGAUUAACAAAGGGAAUUGUAUACGGGAUUGAUUGAAUCCUCGACAUCGUGGUUCAUCCGAUGAGAUCAUCAUGGAACAUGUGGGAGCCAACAUGGGUAUCCAGAUCCCGCUGUUGGUUAUUGACCGGAGAGGCGUCUCGGUCAUGUCUGCAUGUCUCCCGAACCCGUAGGGUCUACACACUUAAGGUUCGGUGACGCUAGGGUUGUAGAGAUAUUAGUAUGCAGAAACCCAAAAGUUGAACGCGGAGGUGCCGUCCGUUCGGCACUCGGUCAUCGGUGAUUUGGAUCACGGCGAGUACGACUCCAUCAACCCUGUUCAUUGGAACGCUUCCGCUCGCGAUCUACAAGGGUAUGUAGAUGCACUCCUUUCCCCUCGUUGCUAGUAUACUCCAUAGAUGGAUCUUGGUGAUGCGUAGAAAAAUUUUAAAUUCUGGUACGAUCCCCAACAGUGGUAUCAGAGCCAGGCCUAUGCAUAGUUACUGUGCACGAGUAGAACACAAAGCAGUUAUGGGCGUUGAUGUUGCCAGUUCUUCUUGCCGUUACUAGUCUUAUCUUGAUUCGGCGGCAUCGUGGGAUGAAGCGGCCCGGACCGACCUUACACGUACUCUUACGUGAGACAGGUUCCACCGACUGACAUGCACUAGUUGCAUAAGGUGGCUAGCGGGUGUCUGUCUCUCCCACUUUAGUCGGAUCGGAUUUGAUGAAAAGGGUCCUUAUGAAGGGUAAAUAGAAAUUGGCAUAUCACGUUGUGGCUUUUGCGUAGGUAAGAAACGUUCUUGCUAGAAACCCAUAGCAGCCACGUAAAACAUGCAACAACAAUUAGAGGACGUCUAACUUGUUUUUGCAGGGUAUGCUAUGUGAUGUGAUAUGGCCAAAAAGGAUGUGAUGAAUGAUAUAUGUGAUGUAUGAGAUUGAUCAUGUUCUUGUAAUAGGAAUCACGACUUGCAUAUCGAUGAGAAUGACAACCGGCAGGAGCCAUAGGAGUUGUCUUAAUUUAUUGUAUGACCUGCGUGUCAAUGAAAACGCCAUGUAAUUACUUUACUUUAUUGCUAACCGUUAGCCAUAGUAGUAGAAGUAAUAGUUGGUGAGACAACUUCAUGAAGACACAAUGAUGGAGAUCAUGAUGAUGGAGAUCAUGGUGUCAUGCCGGUGACGAAGGUGAUCAUGUCGCGCUUAAAGAUGGAGAUCAAAGGCGCACGAUGAUAUUGGCCAUAUCACGUCACUUUAUAAUUUGCAUGUGAUGUUUAUCAUGUUUACAUCUUAUUUGCUUAGAACGACGGUAGCAUAAAUAAGAUGAUCCCUCACUAAAAUUUCAAGAGACGUGUUCCCCCCUAACUGUGCACCGUUGUGAAGGUUCGUUGUUUCGAAGCACCACGUGAUGAUCAGGUGUGAUAGAUUCUAACGUUCGAAUACAACGGGUGUUGACGAGCCUAGCAUGUACAGACAUGGCCUCGGAACACAUGCGAAACACUUAGGUUGACUUGACGAGCCUAGCAUGUACAGACAUGGCCUCGGAACACAAGAGAUCGAAAGGUCGAACAUGAGUCGUAUAGUAGAUACGAUCAACAUGGAGUUGUUCAUCGAUGAUGACUAGUCCGUCUCACGUGAUGAUCGGACACAACCUAGUUUGACUCGGAUCAUGUAUCACUUAGAUGACCAGAGGGAUGUCUAUCUGAGUGGGAGUUCAUUAAUCAGAUGAACUUAAUUAUCAUGAACAUAGUCAGAAGGUCUUUGCAAAUUAUGUCAUAGCUUGCGCUUUAGUUCUACUGGUUAAGAUAUGUUCCUAGAGAAAAUUUAGUUGAAAGUUGGUAGUAGCAAUUAUGCGGACUGGGUCCGUAAACUGAGGAUUGUCCUCAUUGCUGCACAGAAGGCUUAUGUCCUUAAUGCACCGCUCGGUGUGCUGAACCUCAGCGUCGUCUGUAGAUGUUGUGAAACAUCUGACAUGCAUGUUUUGAUGACUACGUGAUAGUUCAGUGCGUAAUGCUAACAGUUUAGAAUUGUGGCACCAACGACGGUUUUUGAAACGUCGCAGAACAUAUGAGAUGUUCCGAAGACUGAAAUUGGGAUUUCGGACUAGUGCCCACGUCAAGAGGUAUGAGACCUCUGACAAGUUUCUUGAGCCUGCAAACUGAGGGAGAAAAGCUCAAUCGUUGAGCAUGUGCUCAGAUUGUCUGAGUACCACAAUCGCUUGAAUCGAGUGGGAGUUAAUCUUCCAGAUGAGAUAGUGAUGGUUCUCCAUAGUCACUGCCACCAAGCUAUUAGAGCUUCGUGAUGAACUAUAACAUAUCAGGGAUAGAUAUGAUGAUCCUUGAGCAACUCGCGAUGUUUGACACCGCGAAAGUAGAAAUCAAGAAGGAGCAUCAAUUGUUGAUGGUUAGUAAAACCACUAGUUUCUAGAAGGGCAAGGGCAAGAAGGAAUACUUCAUGAAACAGCAAAUCAUUUGCUGCUCUAGCGAAGAAUCCCAAAGUUAAACCCAAACCCGAGACUAAGUGCUCCUGUAAUGAGGGGAACGAUCACUAAAGCAGAACUACCCUAGAUACUUGGUAGAUGAGAAGGCAGGCAAGGUCGACAGAAGUAUAUUGGAUAUACAUUAAAUGAAUGUGUACUUUACUAGUACUCCUAUCAGCACCAGGGUAUUAGAUACCGGUUCGGUUGCUAAGUGUUAGUAACUCGAAAUAAAAGCUGCGGAAUAAACGGAGACUAGCUAAAAGUGAGAUGACGAUAUGUGUUGGAAGUGUUUCCAAGGUUGAUGUGAUCAAGCAUCGCAUGCUCCCUCUACCGUCGAGAUUUGGUGUUUGCGUUGAGCAUGAUUGGAUUAUGUUUAUCGCAAUACGGUUAUUCAUUUAAGGAGAAUAAUGGUUACUCUGUUUAUUUGAAUAAUACCUUCAAUGGUCUUGCACCUAAAAUGAAUCUCGAUCGUAGUGAUACACAUGUUCGUGCCAAAAGAUAUAAAAUAGUAAUGAUAGUUCACAUACUUGUGGCACUGCCAUUUGAGUCAUAUUGGUAUAGAACGCAUGAAGAAGCUCCAUGUAGAUGGAUCUUUGGACUCACUCGUUUUUGAAAAGAUUGAGACAUGCGAACCAUGUCUAUUGGUAUAUAUGCAUGAAGAAACUCCAUGCAAAUGGAUCGUUUGUACUCACUUGAUUUUUAAUCACUUGAGACAUGCAAAUCAUACCACAUGGGCAAGAUGACUGAAAGGCCUCGUUUUCAGUAAGAUGGAACAAGAGAGCAACUUAUUGGAAGUAAUACAUUUUGAUGUAUGCAGUCCAGUGAGUGCUGAGGCAUGAAGUGGAUAUCGUUAUGUUCUUACUUCACAGAUGAUUUGAGUAGAUGCUGAGAAUAUUUACUUGAUGAAACACAAGUCUGAAUUAUUGAAAGGUUCAAGUAAUUUUAGAGUGAAGUUGAAGAUCGUCGAUAAAAUGUCUAUGAUAUGAUCAUAGAGAUAUCUGAGUUACGAGUUUGACACACAAUUAAGACAUUGUGGAAAGUGUUUCAUAAUUAAUACCGCCUGGAACACCACAGUGUGAUGGUGGGUCCGAACAUCAUAACUGCACCCUAUUGGAUAUGGUGCAUACCAUGAUGUCUCUUAUCAAAUUACAACUAUCGUUUAUGGGUUAGGCAUUAGAGAUAACCGCAUUCACUUUAAAAGGGGCACCACGCAAUUCCGUUGAGACGACACCGUUUAGAGAAACCUAAGUUGUCGUUUCUUAAAAGAUUGGGGCUGCGAUGCUUAUGUGAAAGAGUUUCAAGCUGAUAAGCUCGAACCCAAAGCGGAUAAAUGCAUCUUCAUAGAAAACCCAAAACAGUUGGGUAUACCUCCUAUUUCAGAUCUGGAAGCAAAAGUAAUUGCUUCUAGAAACGAGUCCUUUCUCGAGGAAAAGUUUCUCUCGAAAGAAUUGAGUGGGAGGAUGGUGGAGACUUGAUGAGGUUAUUGAACCAUAACUUCAACUAGUGUGUAGCAGGGCAUAGGAAGUUGUUCCUGUGGCACUUACACCAAUUGAAGUGGAAGCUUAUGAUAGUGAUCAUGAAACUUCGGAUCAAGUCAUUACCAAACCUCGUAGGUCGACAAGGAUAUGUACUACUCCUGAGUGGUACGGUAAUCCUCUCUUAGAUAUCAUGUUGUUAGACAACAAUGAACCUACGAGCUAUGGAGAAGCGAUGGUGGGCCCAUAUUCCGACAAAUGGUUAGAAAUCAUGAAAUCCGAGAUAGAAUCCAUGUAUCAGAACAAAGCAUGGACUUUGGUGAACUUGCCCGAUGAUCAGCAAGCCAUUGAGAUAAAUGGAUCUUUAAGAAGAAGACGGACGUGGACGGUAAUGUUACCGUCUGUGAAGCUCGACUUGUGGCAAAGAGUAUUUUCACAAGUUCAAGGAGUUGAUUACGAUGAGAUUUUCUCAUCCGUAGCGAUGCUUAAGUCCAUCGGAAUCAUGUUAGCAUUAGCUGCAUUUAUGAAAUCUAGCAGAUGGAUGUCAAAAUAAGUUUCCUUACCAGUUUUCGUAAGGAAAGGUUGUAUGUGAUACAAUCAGAAAGGUUUUGUCGAUCCUAAGGAUGCUAAAAGGUAUGCUAGCUCCAGCGAUCCUUCCAUGGACUAGAGCAAGCAUCUCGGAGUCAGAAUAUACGCUUUGAUGGAGUGAUCAAAGUUUUUGGGUUUGUACAAAGUUUGUUAGAAACUUGUAUCUACAAUAAAGUGAGUGGGAGCACUACAACAUUUCUAAUAAGUAUAUGUGAAUGACAUAUUGUUGAUCCGAAAUGAUGUAAAAUUUCUGGAAAGCAUAAAGGGUUGUUUGAAAAGAGUUUUUCAAAGGAAGACCUGGAUAAAGCUGCUUACAUAUUGGGCAUCAAGAUCUAUAGAGAUAGAUCAAGACGUCUGAUGAUACUUUCAAAGAACGCACACCUUGACAUGAUUUUGAAAGAGUUCAAAAUAGAUCAGCAAAGAAGGAGUUCUUGGCUAUGUUACAAGGUGUGAGUAUUAAGUAAGACUCAAGACCUGACCACAGCAGAAGAGAGAGAAAGGACGAAGGUCGUCCCCUAUGCUUUAGACGUAGGCUCUACAGUAUGCUAUGCUGUGUACCGCACAUGAAGUGUGCCUUGCCAUGAGUUGGUCAAGGGGUACAAUAGUGAUCCGGGAAUGGAUCACAUGAUAGCGGUCGAACUUAUCCUUAAAUCUAGUGGACUAAGGAAUUUUCUCGAUUAUGGAGGUGAAAAGGAGUUCGUCGUAAAGGGUUACGUCGAUGCGAACUUUGACACUAAUCCGGAUGACUCUGAGUAGUAAACCGGAUUCGUAUAGUAGAGCAGUUAUUUGAAAUGGCUCCAAGUAGCGCGUGGUAGCAUCCACAAGGUGGCAUAGAUAUUCGUAAAGCACACAGGGAUCUGAAAGGUUCAGACCCGUUGACUAAUAACCUCUCUCACAAGCAUGACAUGAUCAAACCAGAACUCAUUGAGUGUUAAUCACAUAAUGAUAUGAACUAGAUUGUUGACUCUAGUGAACUCUUUGGAUGUUGGUCACAUGGUGAUGUGACCUGUGAGUGUUAAUCACAUGGUGAUGUGAACUAGAUUAUUGACUCUAGUGCAAGUGGGAGACUGUUGGAAAUAUGCCCUAGAGGCAACAAUAAAUUGGUUAUUAUUAUAUUUCCUUGUUCAUGAUAAUCGUUUAUUGUCCAUGCUAGAAUUGUAUUGAUAGGAAACUCAGAUACAUGUGUGGAUACAUAGACAACACCAUGUCCCUAGUAAGCCUCUAGUUGACUAGCUCGUUGAUCAAUAGAUGGUUACGGUUUCCUGACCAUGGACAUUGGAUGUCGUUGAUAACGGGAUCACGUCAUUAGGAGAAUGAUGUGAUGGACAAGACCCAAUCCUAAGCAUAGCAUAAAAGAUCGUGUAGUUCGUUUGCUAGAGCUUUUCCAAUGUCAAGUAUCAUUUCCUUAGACCAUGAGAUCGUGCAACUCCCGGAUACCGUAGGAGUGCUUUGGGUGUACCAAACGUCACAACGUAACUGGGUGACUAGAAAGGUCCAUUACGGGUAUCUCCGAAAGUGUCUGUUGGGUUGGCACGGAUCGAGACUAGGAUUUGUCACUCCGUAUGACGAAGAGGUAUCUCUGGGCCCACUCGGUAAUGCAUCAUCAUAAUGAGCUCAAUGUGACUAAGGAGUUAGCCACGGGAUCAUGCAUUACGGUACGAGUAAAGUGACUUGCCGGUAACGAGAUUGAACAAGGUAUUGGGAUACCGACGAUCGAAUCUCGGGCAAGUAACGUACCGAUUAACAAAGGGAAUUGUAUACGGGAUUGAUUGAAUCCUCGACAUCGUGGUUCAUCCGAUGAGAUCAUCAUGGAACAUGUGGGAGCCAACAUGGGUAUCCAGAUCCCGCUGUUGGUUAUUGACCGGAGAGGCGUCUCGGUCAUGUCUGCAUGUCUCCCGAACCCGUAGGGUCUACACACUUAAGGUUCGGUGACGCUAGGGUUGUAGAGAUAUUAGUAUGCGGAAACCCGAAAGUUGUUCGGAGUCUCGGAUGAGAUCCCGGACGUCACGAGGAGUUCCGGAAUGGUCCGGAGGUGAAGAAUUAUAUAUAGGAAGUCAAGUUUCGGCCACCGGGAAAGUUUCGGGGGUCACCGGUAGUGUACCGGGACCACCGGAAGGGUCCCGGGGGUCCACCGGGUGGGGCCACCCAUCCCGGAGGGCCCCAUGGGCUGAAGUGGGAAGGGAACCAGCCCUUAGUGGGCUGGGGCACCCCCCUCAUCGGCCUUCUCCCUGCGCCUAGGGUUGGAAACCCUAGGGUGGGGGGCGCCCCACUUGCCUUGGGGGGUAAGUUUCCCCCUGGCCGCCGCCCCCCCCCCCUUGCAGAUGGGAUCCAGGCCGGCGCCCCCCCUCCCAGGGGGCCUAUAUAUAGUGGGGGGAGGGAGGGCAGCAAGAUGACAGCCCCUGGCGCCUCCCUCUCCCAGGGGGCCUAUAUAUAGUGGGGGCCGAGACCCCCCUACCUCUCGCAGAAACUUGGCGAAGCCCUGCCGAGACCCCGCUACUUCCACCACCACGCCGUCGUGCUGCUGGAUCUCCAUCAACCUCUCCUUCCCCCUUGCUGGAUCAAGAAGGAGGAGACGUCGCUGCUCCGUACGUGUGUUGAACGCGGAGGUGCCGUCCGUUCGGCACUCGGUCAUCGGUGAUUUGGAUCACGGCGAGUACGACUCCAUCAACCCCGUUCAUUGGAACGCUUCCGCUCGCGAUCUACAAGGGUAUGUAGAUGCACUCCUUUCCCCUCGUUGCUAGUAUACUCCAUAGAUGGAUCUUGGUGAUGCGUAGAAAAAUUUUAAAUUCUGCUACGAUCCCCAACAUGGUUCACACCCAGUUUUCCACGCCUAUUCGUACUUUUCGUGCUGACUCCGCUGGUGAGUUUAUCACCCAGCUGUUGUGUGGUUUUCUUGCGGAACAGGGUACUCUUGCCUAGUUCUCAUGUCCUGGUGCACAUGCUCAGAAUGGCGUUGCCGAACGUAAGCAUCGUCAUCUACUUGAGACGGCUCGUGCUCUGAUGAUUGCCACCUCUCUCCCACCCCAUUUUUGGGCUGAGGCUGUUUCUUCAUCCACCUAUCUCAUCAACAUACAUCCAUCGACUACUCUGCAGGGUGGUAUUCCUAUGGAGUGUCUCACUGGUCGCUCUCCUGACUACUCAGCUCUUCGUAUGUUUGGAUGUGUGUGCUAUGUCCUUCUUGCCCCGCGAGAACGCACCAAACUGACUGCUCAGUCGGUUGAGUGUGUUUUUCUUGGCUACAGCGAUGAGCACAAGGGCUCUGCUGGGAUCCUGUUGGUCGUCGUUUGCGCAUCUCGCGUGAUGUGACCUUUGAUGAGUCUCGCUCUUACUACCCACGUCCUUCUACCUCGAGCUUCUCUGUGGACGAUCUUUCUUUUCUUCUUCUCCCUGAUACACCCUGCUAUGUGCCUCCUCAUGUUUUUCCUCCUCCGCAUGCACCUCUUCUUCCUUCUCCUUCACCACCGACACCAUCUUCCCCAUCCUCCUCCUCCAACUCUCCACCAUCAUCUCCAGUCCGGCGUCCUCUCUCAUCAUUUCCUCUUCACUAUACUCGUCGCCCUCGUUUUGAGGAUGUUUCCCCUGAUGCGCCUUCCACCUCUGGUGCACCUCCUUUCACGCCUCCCCCGGUUCAUAACCUCCAUGCUCGGCCUCGCCCCCCGCCUGAUCGCUACUCUCCUGAUCGGUACGGUCUCUCUGUUAUUGCUAAGCCCACUUCCUAUCGGACUGCCAUGACUCAGCCUGAAUGGCAACUUGCGAUGGCCGAAGAGCUUGCUGACCUUGAGCGCUCUGGCACAUGGGAUCUGGUUUCCCUCCCUUCCGGUGUCCGUCCCAUCACCUGCAAGUGGGUCUACAAGAUUAAGAUUCGCUCUGAUGGUUCUCUUGAGCGCUACAAAGCGCGCCUUGUGGCUCGUGGUUUUCAGCAGGAGCAGGGACGCGAUUAUGAUGAGACAUUCACUCCUGUGGCCCAUUUGACCAUUGUUCGCACUCUUCUUGCUGUUGCUUUUGUUCGUCAUUGGUCUAUCUCUCAACUUGAUGUUCAGAACGCUUUUCUUAAUGGCGAGUUGCGUGAGGAGGUUUACAUGCAGCCACCACCGGGGUACUAUGCUCCUGACGGUAUGGUCUGUCGACUUCGCCGCUCCCUCUAUGGUCUUAAACAGGCCCCUCGCGCCUGGUUUGAGCGCUUUGCCUCUGUGGUGACUGCCGCUGGUUUCUUGCCCAGUGAUGAUGAUCCCGCGUUGUUUGUUCACACAUCUCCUCGUGGUCGGACUCUUCUCCUUCUUUAUGUUGAUGGCAUGAUCAUCCUGGUGACGACUCUGACUACAUUGCCUUUGUUAAGGCCCGCCUUCACGACCAGUUCCUCAUGACUGAUCUUGGUCCUCUUCGCUAUUUUCUUGGGAUUAAGAUCUCCUCGACCUCUGAUGGCUUCUACAUCUCUCAAGAGAAAUAUAUUCAGGGUCUUCCUGCUCGAGCUGCUCUCAGUGAUGACCGCACCAUUGUGACUCCUAUGGAGCUCAAUGUUCAGCUUCGUGCCUCUGAUGGUGACCCUCUUCCUAAUCCCACUCGCUAUCGUCACCUCGUUGGUAGCCUUGUCUAUCUUGCUGUUACGCGUCCUGACAUCUCCUAUCCUGUUCACAUCCUUAGUCGGUUUGUUUCAGCCCCCCCCUCUGUCCACUAUAGUCACCUCCUCCGUGUUCUACGAUAUCUUCGUGGCACGAUCUCUCAGCGCCUUUUCUUUCCCCGCUCCAGUUCUCUUGAGCUCCAGGCUUACUCUGAUGCUACCUGGGCUAGUGAUCCCUCUGAUCGACGCUCGAUAUCUGUUUAUUGUGUCUUUCUUGGUGGCUCUCUUAUUGCUUGGAAGACAAAGAAACAGACUGCAGUUUCUCGCUCGAGUACAGAGGCUGAGUUGCGAGCCAUGGCUAUGCUGACGGCUGAGGUGAUCUGGUUACGGUGGUUACUUGAGGAUUUUGGUGUGUCUGCUGCUACCUCGACUCCCUUACUGUCAGACAGUACUGGUGCUAUCAGUAUUGCGCGUGACCCGGUGAAGCAUGACCUCACUAAGCACAUCGGUGUGGAUGCCCACUUCGUGCGUGCUGCUGUGCAAGAUCAGACUCUCGCUCUUCACUAUGUGCCAUCUGAGUUACAGUUGGCUGACUUCUUCACGAAGGCACAGACUCGGGCGCAGCAUGGCUUUUUCCUCUUCAAACUCAGUGUUGUUGAUCCACCAUGAGUUUGAGGGGGGGUGUUAGAUGUGUAUAGUCUCUUUCUGGUUUAUCCCCAUUGUAUAAGGGGUUUCCUGCACUUUAGCACACAUGUAUAUGUAUUGGCCUUUGGCCCUCAGUAAAGUUAGUUGCCCAUUCCUAACACCAAUUAGUGGUAGCUAGCAUGAGGUGUUUCUGCAGUUCUGCUAGACAACCAUGCCGUGUGACUCGGCUGGUUAAUUCCCUCACGAUUGUAAAUAUGUCUCACCAUGAUGAUGAUGAUGAUGAAAUCUUCCCCCACUUUGAGUCCACAUUACCCUCCUUCAGAAAAAGGUUUGCAUUGCCCUUCAAAGUUCAAACAGGUCUUAGGAUUCUUUUGGAAGACUAUUGCUUCCAGUUGGUCACAAGCUUUGCAUGUUGCUCUUUUCUGUUCGCUGCUUCGACCGGCAGAGACCCAAAAAAUUGAUCCCGGUCCUUUUCCUAUUUCGUAGGUUCAGUUUCAUAAACAUACAAGGGAUAUGAUUCUCCAAUUAAGUUGGUGCAGAAACUUAAAAUAUUUUGAUACCGCACUGAAAAGGUGAUUGCUCUUAAAUAAUUGGUUUUGCAUACAAAGUAGCAUAGUCACCACAAUGUGAUUUUUCUGACAAAGCUCGGGAAAUAUAAGAAAAUAGAAAAGUAGAACAUUGUAAAAAAUUCCUGGCGACUAGAAAGUAAAACUAUGGAAAACAACAAGGCAAAAUUUCAAACAUUUCACGAAUAAUAUGUUUAUUGUAGGAAUUUGUAAGUGUGUGAAAAUGAUCCAGACCUAUUAUCAAAGUUCAGCGAAAGUAUAAAGCAUCUCAAACAUAAUAAAAAUUACAUUGAGAUUUCAAGAUCCCCAAACAACCACUACUGCCGCUCAAACGAGCCGCCGAUGCGCCGCUAUCGCCGCUCCCCUGCCGGAGUCGGCUUGACCUUGUGGAUGACAGCCGGGAAGUCUUUGUGCACGUGCCCAUAAGGACCAGCGCCCUGGAGCCACAGUCGUCGCCGUUGAACCCUUGCAUAGAUCUGAAGCAGCUGACACCAAAUCUCGCCACAAGACGAGAAACUUUAACCUCACCGCCCCAAAGAGAUGGAAGGAAUCUACGCUAGAGCUUCGUCGACUAAGUCUAGACAAACGAACUCGAGGAGGAUCGGAUUCCGGAAGACAAACUCGAAGAAGUAGCGCGGUCAUCCGCCCGAGCACCGCACCUACGAGGACUGAAAAAACCUAACCUAAACUACUAACUGGAGCGGAGGCACCGGAAUUCCCCUCCCCGUCACUGGCCGCCAGAGCGGUAAACAGAGGGGGAGGGGGGCGAAUCAACGGGCUCGUGGGCAAAGUUUCAAGAGAAAAGUUUGCCCUAGACGCCUAGGGUUAGGGAAGGAAAACGAGAAGAAGCCGGGAAUUUGUAAGUCUAUAAACAUAACUUCGGAAAUGAAGAGUUACAAGAAAAUUUGGUAAAAAUGAACUAUUUUUAAACAAUCAGAAACAUUUCAAAAUUUAUUAAAACAAAGGGAAUUUUAAAUGUGAAGAACUGAGAUUUGAGGAAAUAAAUGUUUUGAAAUUUAUCAGAUUCUGUAGUUUCAAGAUUAUAUAUGAUAGCUAUCCAAUUUCACAUUUCCUAAAAUGUCACUUGAUUUUUUAUGUAUUCCCUAAAAGUAUUUUCAUUUCCCCAUUCUAUUCUUGUUCCUUUUCAACUUUAUUUGCACACUUAGCUACGCCAUGUGCAAAACCACCUCUACGGUAACUUCAAACAAUUCUAACAUUUGAUGGAAAAAAAUCUCUAAAAAAUACACUUGAUGGAAAAAAGGAAUCAGGACCAUGCAUAGUUGAGGGGCCAUAAGUACUUUUUUUUUCUAAAAAAAAAAAAACGAUAGGUGUGGCGUUGAACAAGCAGAGUAGCAGCAGAGUAACUCCGGAAGCACCCGGUAUCCUAGAAAACCAACGUCUGCGACCACUGUUUUGCUCUAGACCUCCAGGCUCCCUCCUGUAUAUAACCUCGUCCCAAUCCCACUCGUCCUCUCAUCAACACAAGCAUCAAUCAGCCUUCAGCUCAAAAUUCAUUCCAUACUCCACACUCAGACUUCAGCUACCAAUCUCCAGGCAUCACAUAGUUCAGACACAUCAAUCAACAGUGCUGUCUCCACCAACGCAAGAGAGAUCAUGGCGGGAGCGGCGAAGGCGUCAUGGAUGGUGGCGAUGAGCGUCGGCGCCGUGGAGGCGCUCAAGGACCAGGCUGGGCUCUGCCGAUGGAACUACGCCCUCAGGUCCAUCAUCCACCGGGCCGCCAAGGCCAGGGCCAACGUCCGCGGCGGCGUCUCGCAGGGCGCCAAGCAGCUUCCAGCCUCCGCGGCGGCGGCGGCGGAGAGGCGGCGAGCGGAGAAGGCCGAGGAGGGGGUGAGGACGGUGAUGUACCUCAGCUGCUGGGGUCCCAAUUAGCAGCUGCAACUUGCUGCUAGCUGAGGAGGGGCUGAGGACGGUGACGUACCUCAACUGCUAGGCGUGUCUCUGUUUGCUGCAACAACCAUGGCCUGAAACCUGUGUGGCUUCCCGUUGAAUCGCCCAUUGUAAAAUACCACCAUGAUGAUUUUUUUUUUUUUUAGAAAAGGAGGAUGACCCCCGGCCUCUGCAUCUGGGAGAUGCAUAAGGUCACUUUAUUAAUUAUUCUCGAGGACCUUAUAAAGUAUUACAAACAAUAUACCUGAAACUACCAUCUUGGCAACAUAUGCCGCUCCUCUUAUCCAUAUGAUGUAGGGAUGCUAGCUGGGCCACUACCCAAACCACUCACCUAAACCUAACAUCAAAAGCCGGAAGCCCCAGCCGAGCCACAUACCGGGUCUGGGGCACAAUCCGGUCAGACGCACUCUUAUGUCGUCGCCGCCAUCUUCCACAAGUCCGUCUUCAGAUUAUAUUGAAUCUUCUAUCUUGUGAAGGCCACUACUGCCAUCGACGUCACCAUGAUGCCAGACAACUACCUCCUCCUGCGCGAGUCCAUCUCCGCACAUCGGACGCCGAGCCUCCACGGCGCCAUGCCGCCGAUCUCCGCCGCCAUCAAUGAGUGAGAUGAAGUACCGCUCCACCACGGCAAGUACAAGGUGAGAAAGGGCGAGGUCGCAAUCGGAGACACGGCCAGACAUGGGCCGCCACCAGGAACCAGACAGACUCGCCAUGCACACCCAACAUCCCCAUGCCCAAGUCGGCGCCUUCAAGAAGGUAACGACGCUGUGGCGCCGCCGCCGCUUAGCCACCGGGGCUAGGGUUUUCACCCGGGCGCAGGGGGAGGGGGGAGGCAGGGGAGGUUUAGCCUCGGCGCCGCCACCAAGGAGGGAAUGGCGUCCGGGAUGCCAUCGACGCCGUGGCCGCCGGUGGCGGCCAAGGGUUUCCCCCGGCCAAGCACCCUGCCGCCACCUCCGAACCAGUCACAAAAUCAGCAGGCGCGUGCACGCCGGAGAUCCAGACCGGCCGGAGGUCAUGCAUGACGAGCGGACCAGCUCGCCUCCGAUCCGACGAGGGGAGACCGGGACCUCCCCGCGCCAUGACCAGCGCCCACCGGGACCUCGCUGCCCACGCAGCCGAGGGGAUCAGGCCUACCUCACCGACGAGCACUCCCUGCCGCCAGAGGAGCGCCGUCCGUACCAGCGAGGCCGCCGCCUCAGAUCCGACACACCGGUCGCCGCGCUCCGCCGCCGCGCCCGAGGAAGCCGGACCCCACGGCGCCGUCCACAGUCCUCGCCGCCCGCAGCCCGCGUCACGACACGGCUAGAUCUGGCGGAGUUGCGUUGCCGCACAUGAUGAUGAUGACAACAUAUUUCUGUUACUUCAGUUCAUAUUACUCUCCUUAUCUAUUUGCCUUUUGUUAUCUUGAUGAGAAAUAUGAAUUGAUGCUUUAAUUUAGUUUCAUCUUACAGCUAUUCCAUUAUCUUUGAACCCGGCCUUUUGGUCGUAUGGCAAAAAAGGAACUUGCAAGUUACAUAUGACGAGUUCAUAGCAAACAUGAUGCAUUUCUUGAGUCUGCAUCACACAUGAAGGUGUCAUCUGCAGGUGUUAAAAGUGACAGAAACACAUGACAAAUUCUCGUAUAUAUGUUAUGAAGGUGUCAUCAAGCAAUCCAUCUAGUUUCAGUUUUGCUAGUUGACCUGGGUCCAGUUGCUUGGCUCCUGUGGGAGCGCGUGAUGGGGGCCCGCUAGCAUGCAAGCCAUGCACGUCGGCGCCCGCGGGGGUGGGCAGCGCCUCGCCUGCAUGCUGCGGCUUUUGGGUGCUCCCCCCCUGCGUCUCAGCCCGCAGCGGCGCAUCCCUGCGCCUCCUGCGGAUGAUGACCCACCUGCCCCGGACGGUCCGGCCUCCGCUGUGCAGGCCCCGGCGUCCCGUGGCCGCUCCAGCGUCGCCUUGGUGGAGUUGGACGAGCCCGGUGACGGAGUGGCGGUGCUGCCGCCCGAACGACGCCGGAGCGCUAGGAUUGCUCGUAACGAGCCGUCCACCUGGCUCGGCGUGGAAGAAAAAGCUAUGAAGCUUAGGGCUCUUCGGGACGCUCUGACCGGCUGCUCGCCGCGCCUCAAGUCCAAGGUGGCGAGGGCCAAGAUGCUCGACGGGGUGCUCGACCCAUUGACCGCGGCGGCUACGGCGGCCGUGCGCUCGGCGGCUGCGAUCCCGUCUGCUCCGGCGCAGGCUAGCUCCGAUGGUUAGGACGCCUGCGUGCGUCACCCAGUNNNNNNNNNNNNNNNNNNNNNNNNNNNNNNNNNNNNNNNNNNNNNNNNNNNNNNNNNNNNNNNNNNNNNNNNNNNNNNNNNNNNNNNNNNNNNNNNNNNNNNNNNNNNNNNNNNNNNNNNNNNNNNNNNNNNNNNNNNNNNNNNNNNNNNNNNNNNNNNNNNNNNNNNNNNNNNNNNNNNNNNNNNNNNNNNNNNNNNNNNNNNNNNNNNNNNNNNNNNNNNNNNNNNNNNNNNNNNNNNNNNNNNNNNNNNNNNNNNNNNNNNNNNNNNNNNNNNNNNNNNNNNNNNNNNNNNNNNNNNNNNNNNNNNNNNNNNNNNNNNNNNNNNNNNNNNNNNNNNNNNNNNNNNNNNNNNNNNGGUAUCUACAGCGUUUGUGCUGUCCGCCGCGGUAGGGUUAGUUUGUACCCCGUCGAGGGCGUGCUGUCGUCUAUGUUUCCUUCCCUAUCUGUCCUCGGUGCCGCGGUCUGUGAUGGAUAGUGCCUCCUAUUCUAAACUUUCGUUCCUGUGUUGGAACGUGCAAGGGCUGGGGGGUGUUGACAAGUGCGGCGUCGUGCGGAACGCUAUCCACACUGUCAACCCCGUCCUCGCUUGUAUCCAGGAAAGCAAACUAUCUGAGUUGUCCACCAGUAAGGCUCGCUCGUUCUUGCCCUCCCGCCUGGGCUCUUUUGUGUCCAAAAAUGCGGAGGGUAGUAGAGGCGGGAUGGUCACCGCUUGGGACCCAGCGUCCUCAGUCUGUCCGCGUCUUCGGCCUCCCGUUACACGCUUACUGCCUCCCUUUCUUCCACGCGGUGCGCCCUCUCCUUCCGGAUCACUAACGUCUACGCUCCCUCCGAUCAUGCGUUCACGGCGGACUUUGUCGAGGACCUCAUGUCGGUCGCAGCGGGCAUCACUGGCCCCUGGCUGGUGCUUGGGGACUUCAACCUCAUCCGCUUCCCUCACGAGAAGAAUAACGAUCGCUUUGAUGCUUCUCGUGCGGCUGUGUUCAACUCCCUCGUUAACUCUCUUGCUCUGCACGAGCUCGCCCUGUCGGACAGGCUUUUUACUUGGACGAACAGGCGGGAUCCCCCCACCCUCGCUCGUCUGGAUCGCGUCUUCUUUGACCACGCUUGGGACGUCGCCUUCCCGGACUCGGGUCUGUCGUCUCGCCCCCGUUCUACCUCGGAUCAUGUGCCCCCUAGUGGUGGAGGCCGCGACGCGGAUUCCUUCCCCUUCUCGGUUUUUCUUCGAGAAUGCUUGGCUCCGCGAUCCUCAGUUUCUCCCCUCUACCCUCUCGUCCUGGUCGAACACGGGGGCCAGUCGGUGCGCUGUGGGUUGCCUGGCAACUCGCAAGAAAAGGUUCAGGGCCGCGGCCAAGGUUUGGAAAAGGCUACACAAAUACAUUCCUGCUUUUGAUAAUAACUGCAAAUUUGUGAUUGACCUGCUUGACUUUUGGGAGGAGUGCCGCACCUUGUCCUCUGAUGAACACCAGCUCAGGCAGGACGCGCGCGUGGCCUUGGCGGCUUCGAUCCGGCGGCAGAGCGCGUACUGGAAGCAGCGCGGGAAGUGCCGGGCUGUCUGCGAGGGGGACGAGAACACCGGCUUCUUCCACGCGAGCGCCUCCCACCGCCGCCGCGCCAACUCGAUCCGUGUGCUCGACGUCGACGGUGCGAUGGUGUUGGACCACGCUGGCAAGGCGGCGGCCCUGCUCACGUUCUACUCCAACCUGUUGGGCAGGGCUCGGCCCGCCGUGUGGCGCUUCGACUUGGAGGCUCUCUACCGCCACGCGCCGAGGGUGGACGCGGCGGCUCUGGUCGCGCCUUUCUUGCCCAGCGAGAUUAAAGAUGCUGCGAACCUCCUCGACCGGACUAGCGCGCCCGGACCAGACGGCCUUGGCCCCGCGUUCUACCAGGCCGCCUGGAGUACGGUCGCGGGCGACCUACAGCGACUCUUCGACGCGGUUCUUGACGGCACCGCGGACCUCGACGCCAUCAACCGUGCGUACAUUGCCCUGCUGCCCAAGGGGGUGGGCGUGCCGACGCCGGGCGCUUUCCGCCCUGUCUCCCUUCAGAAUGGGGACGUGAAAAUCCUCUGUCGUGGCCUUACCUCGAGGUUGCAGAAACAGAUUGGGGGCAUCAUCGACGUCGACCAGUCUGGGUUCUUGGCGGGCAGGAGCAUCUCCGAGAACUUUGUGUAUGCCGCCGAGGUGAUCCAAUGCUGCCACAAACGGGGGGCGCCUGCCCUCGUGUUCAAGCUGGACUUCGCUAAGGCGUUCGACUCGGUCAACUGGGGGGCACUGCGCCGAAUCCUCAUGGCGCGCGGCUUUCCCUGUCGGUGGUGCGACUGGAUGGACCUGAUCUUCGAGUCCUCGCGGUCGGCUGUGCUGCUGAACGGCGUGCCCGGGCGGUGGUUCACGGUGCGCCGGGGGCUGCGGCAAGGUGACCCAUGUUCGCCCUACCUCUUCCUCAUCGUCGCCGAUGUGCUGCAACAAAUGAUCUGUCAAGACGGGGCCCUGUUCCACCCUCUCGUCGAUGGCAAGCCCCCCUGGUGCUGCAAUAUGCCGAUGAUACGCUUGUCAUCCUCUGAGCGGACUCCGGCGCCGCGGCCCGCCUCCGCCGUAUCCUCGACGACUUUGCGGCGGCGACAGGGCUGGACAUCAACUUCGACAAAAGUACUCUGGUCCCCAUGCACGUGCCCGAGGAGGUGUUGGCGGAGACUGUUGGCGCCCUUGGCUGCGCCGUACAAGGGUUCCCGCAAGCCUACCUGGGGCUCCCUUUGUCGUGGGAAAAGCUCUGCUUCGCCGACUUCCUACCCAUGAUCGCGAAGGUUGACAGGUACCUGGCUGGAUGGAGAGCCCGUCUUCUCUCCCCGGCUGGGCGUUUGGUCCUGAUCAACGCUGUCCUCGACGCCCUUCCCACAUAUGCUAUGGCAGCGAUGUUGCUCCCACCAGCGGUGAUCAAGGAGCUCGACUCGCUCCGUCGGGCCUUCCUCUGGAAUGCAGCCGAGCGCGCCUCCGGAGCCCAAUGCCUGGUGGCUUGGGAGCGUGUUUGCAGGACCAAGGCGGAAGGCGGGCUGGGCGUCCGCGACCUCGCUACACAGAAUCGCUGCCUACUGCUCAAGAUGCUGCACCGGCUUCACGCGUCUUCCUCGCCUUCGAGAUGGGCCCUGUGGGUGUGGGCGGAGCUCGACGGCCGCUCCCUCCUCUCGCCAACAGCCAGCAGGCGCGCAGGGGAGCAUGGCCAGGCGCUGGCGCAGCUGCUCCCGCUGUACCGCGGGAUCACCAGGGUGACGGUGCGCGAUGGGAGACGGACGUCCUUCUGGCUCGACUCCUGGCUCCCGUGUGGACCGCUCGCGGUGGCUCUCCCGGUGCUGCACUCGCACACGACGAUGAAGGAGGCCACGGUGUGGCGGGUGCGUACGCGCGCCCUGGACAGUGUGCUGGUGCCCAGGCUUACCUCUGCCGGCACCGUGGAGCGGGCUACCCUUCUGGCACUGAUCGGCGAUCAGGUUACGGGGCUGGGUGACGACGAGCGCAGACCAACGCUGUGCUCAGACGCGCGUGGGAGCCUGGUCACGGUGGCCGUCUACGCCCUGGAGAGAUUCGGGGGCCUGCAGGUGUCGUUCGCGGCGUUCCUUUGGGGGUGCGCGGCUCCCUCCCGUGUUCGUUUUUUCGGGUGGCUCCUGGUCCAACGACGGGUCAACACAAGGGACGUCCUGUUGCGAAAGACCAUCAUCACAGCGGAGGGGGCUUCCUGUCCGAUCUGUUCGAGCGAGCUGGAGACGGCGGAUCACAUGGUGUUCGAGUGCCCUUUCACCCGAGCCUUCUGGGGGGCGGUAGGGGUCGAUGUGGUCGACAAAGGUUAUCAGGUGGCCGCGCUCCAGGAUCUUGACGUCCGGGGAGUGGUCGGGGAUACUGCGUGCGCUACCUUCGCUCUUCUGUGCUGCUGGCAGCUAUGGAAGCAUAGGAAUGCCGUGGUCUUCCGUGGGGCGGUGCCCUCCCUCGCCCGCCUUCUAGCUUGCUGCAGGGAGGAUUCGGCCCUGUGGCAAGGACGACUGAAAGUAGUUGAACGCGCGUGCGUCGACAGAUGGCUACAGGUGUUCUCGCACCCUGAGAGGUAGCCUGCGCCGUGCUUNNNNNNNNNNNNNNNNNNNNNNNNNNNNNNNNNNNNNNNNNNNNNNNNNNNNNNNNNNNNNNNNNNNNNNNNNNNNNNNNNNNNNNNNNNNNNNNNNNNNNNNNNNNNNNNNNNNNNNNNNNNNNNNNNNNNNNNNNNNNNNNNNNNNNNNNNNNNNNNNNNNNNNNNNNNNNNNNNNNNNNNNNNNNNNNNNNNNNNNNNNNNNNNNNNNNNNNNNNNNNNNNNNNNNNNNNNNNNNNNNNNNNNNNNNNNNNNNNNNNNNNNNNNNNNNNNCCAAUAAAACAAGAAAAUUCAGGUGGAGGGCUUUGCCCCUCCCCGGUGACCUUCAAAAAAAAAACAAUCUCCCGGUUUCCUGGUCAGAGUUAUAGAAAGAGCUAGAAUGAUGAUAGUGUAAAAAAACGGUCGACGGAGGGAGUAGGUCACACGUUUUCCUUUCUAGUUUCCCAGGGCCAUGCAAGUAAAAGAAAUGGCCACUUUUUUGCGAAUAAAAUAAACGAAAUGGCUUUUUAACAAGAGGAAUCUCCGUACGCCUGAGUAAACCAGUUUCUUUAAAAUAAUCCAGCAGAUCCUGCCACGAAGCUCAACACGGCCACUGGUAUGGUGGAAACCAUGUUCUCAAGCAUGCGUCACUCCUAUCUUAUCUCUGCCUUGUCUGAUCGUAACGGACAGAACCACCGCCCACGUACGGGGACGAAAGCGAGAGGUGCGGCGCAGGCAAGCAAGUGAACUCUCAUGAAAAGCACCCGGUAUCCUGGAAAACCAGCGGCCGCAGCCAGCUGUUUUGCUCCGACGUUCCGGUAUAAAAACCCGGCCCAUCCCCACUCUUCCUCGCAUCAACUCAAACAAGCAUCAGUUACCGCCAUUACCAAAGUUUAUGAAUAAUCGGGGCGCCGAGUGACCCGACCCCGAGCUCUCCUGCUAGCGCGCACCGGCGGCGGCCACUCCGGCCCCGUCGGCCACCCCACCGCUGGCUCGCAGCCCAGCCGCCAUGUUGCCGCCGCCUCCACCCUCGUUGCCUGUGGGCUUCAAGCCGGUUGACGUCCCGCCGCCAUCCCUAUCGUCUUCCCGGUCAGAUCCGGAUCGGGACCUCCUGCUUCCGCCGCCGCAGACGACGACGCUGGACCUGCCCACCCAGCUUCGUGCCGUGCCCAUGGCGGUGCUGGUGAUGCCUCCGUGCGAGCUCGUAGCGCCCACAUCACCGAAGCUCCCCAUGCCCGCGGCUACCGGCAACUGCCCAGCUCCGGCGCCGGCCACCGCGACACCGACGCCACCCAUGCCCGCGGCAGCUGGUGGCUGCCCCGCUCCGUCGACGACGGCUGCUGCUGUCGACAUCCUGGUCCCCGUGGCGGCUCCGUCCCUCCUCCAGCCGGCCGCGCCCGGGAGCUCGCGUCCAUCGCCACCGAGCUCGCUCCCCUCCGAGCCAGCGCCCGUGGUCCCUCCCGCAUCGACGUUCGCCGCCGCCGCACUAGCCGCGGCUGCACUUGCUUGCCGCAGAUCGGACCCGGCCAUCGGAGGGCAGAAGGCUCGUUCCCAGGAGGGCCUGGAUACCUUUGCUUCGCCGCCUGCUGGACGCCCUUGCCUGCCCGGCGGCCAACCUCCUGCACUCGUUGCUCCUGGUUGGGGGGAUUGGCGUGGAUGCUUCCAUCGUGAUGAGGCGGCUGAUGUUCUCGAGCGUGAGCAAGGGGGAUGGCAGACUGUCUCGAAGGGGCGCUGCUCGCCGCCUCCUGCAGCUUUUGGUCGCCCUUCCAUCAAUGUGCGGCGUUCCCCUCCGACGUGGCUGAGAGACAGGUGUUUCCGGUGUCUCCGUCGAGGUCAUCGCGCAUACUCCUGCAGGGAUCCAAUCCGAUGCACUGACUGCCUUCGAUCUGGACAUAUCGCUCGCUUCUGUCGUGCUAAGAAGCCUGUCCACCAAGCUUCGCCGCUCCAAUGUCAUGCUCCAUCGGCUGCUUCCACCGGUGAUGUCUCCAUGAUAGAUGUGCAGAUCCCGUCUAUCUCGGCUGAGCAUGUCGGGUUGGUGGAGGAGACCAAGAUGCUUCGCACUGAGCUUCACGACUGCCUUGCGCGUGCCGGCAGUGUUUUGGGGAGGGCGGAGGCUGCUCUUGCCAAACUAGAGGUGGUGCCGAAUGUGUCUUCGCUGCCUGAGCUUCAGAUUGGGGUUGUGCCUGAUGUGUCCCUACUGCCCGAGAUCCAGGUUGUCUCUGUCGAUGGGGAAGGUGGCAUGUAUGGAGAUCUCUCCCCUCGUGCUACAGUAUGUCAGUUGCCGCUGCCUGUCAUGCCGAUUCCUUCAGGGAGUGAACUCAUUGUUGAGGUCGUGACUCCGGUGCUGCGGAUUAUGUCUGAGCUUCAGAAGCUUUGUGGGGAGCCCACUUUGCCUAUUUCGAUGGUGCUUCCCGAGGAGAUAGGGUCUCUUGGAGGGGACUUGGCGAUGCCGACUGCGACCUCAUCGUUUUCAUUGGAGCCGAGUCAGCCGCUUGCCUUUGUGGACCUUGGAGGUUUGGCGGCUGCUGCUGCUCUCUCACCUGAGGUUGUUGGCCCGGUGGCGUCUGUUGGUGCUGAGUUUGAUGAGGUAGGUGCUUUGACACCUGUGUCUAAGGCGCCGAAGCCCGUCCAGUCUCUCAUCUUUGACCGCGACGCUAUGUUGGCACGUAUUGAUGAGGUGGUCUUCGCGAAAAAGCUUGGCCGCUUGCUCACCAGCUUGGAUGCAGCUUGUCCUGGGUCUGCCAAGACGAUUGCUUGCCUCCUAGCGGAGGAGGUUUCUACGGGCAAAAUAAAGAAGGUGAAGAAGGCUAUCAGGAACAUAGGCAAGAAGACUGACGUUAUUAGGAAGGCGUCCGCGACUGCUUAAUGGAGGAUGCUCAGUCUUUUUGUCAUCCAUCUUCGAUUGACUCGCCUCUGUGGAUUUGGUGGCGUUCGGUGGUUUCGUUGAGGGUUUCGUUGCGAUGUCAUUUUGCGAGGGCUUAUGGUUGUUGCAUGUUAUGUAUGUUUGUUGGGUUGACCAUGGUGUCAUGGAGUUUCUUUCUUAGAGAGUAGUCCGCAUGUGGUCUAUAUGUAUCGGUUUUCGCCCGGUUUUCCUUUAAUUAACUGGGCAAUUCUCUUCUUCUUAAUUAAUCGAUGAGGCAAAUCUUUUGCCUCCGUUUCAAAAAAAAAAACAAGCAUCAGUUCAGGCAGCGCAGUGACACAGUUCGAGAAAUUCAGCUUUGUUCUUUCAGUAUCACAACUUUGCAAGUCCACUAGUACCACAAAUCAGCCUCCACUCUCCAGCAGCGCAGCAAGACCAAGAAGAAAAGAAGAUAUGGCUGGUCCGGCGAAGGCGUCGUGGAUGGUGGCCAUGAGCGUCAUGUACCUCAGCUGCUGGGGCCCAAAUUAGCAGCUGCCUACAUGGUACUAGUUAGGCGUGUCAGUGUUUGCUGCAACAACCAUGGCCUAUCUGGUUGGCCUUCCGUGGAAUCCCCCAUUGUAAAAUACCACGAUGAUGAUGAUGAAAAAUGCUGUUAUUUGAGCCAAUGUUUAUUUGCUUAUUUAUUAUCUUGUGAGGAAUAUGCAUACAUGCUCUGAUUUGGUUUCUACAUGCUCUGAUUUGGUUUCUACUUGCAACCCAAACAGAAGUUACACAACACUUGACAAAUCGUAGCCAAUUGUAACGGUCACCGAAUCAAGGACCUAGUGGCAGCACACUGAAUAGGUUUAGAUCCAUUUUUCAGUGUCCAACAAGAGGAUUUGGGGAUACAGGGACAGCAAGAAGAGGAGAGCAUGCGAGUUCUAUCUUAGUUCUGAAUAUCAAUCUUCAGUUAGUGCAGUGGCCCAGCCGACGGGCUCGACACAAACGUGCUGAAUUUCUUCAGUCUGCGGCACUUCGUUAAAGUGACACACGCGAUGAAUCCUCGUAUCUGUACUCAAGGUGUCAUCAAGCAACCAAUCCAUUUAUAGUACUUAUCAGUUUUGUUGGUGGACCUGCCUUCGGUUGCUUUGUUAGUACAAAGCGAGACCAAACGAGAAGUACUUCGGAUUGGUUGAAAGUACUUUCUUUUUUCUUCUUUUUUGCGCAUAGGUUGAAGAAAGUACUUUCUUUUUUCUUCUUUUUUGCGCAUAGGUUGAAGAAAGUACUUUCUUUUUUCUUCUUUUUUGCGCAUAGGUUGAAGAAAGUACUUUCUUUCUUCUUCUUUUUUGCGCAUAGGUUGAAGAAAGUACUUUCUGUGGCUCCAGUCGACCUGAUAUGCGACGAGGUCGAACGAAUAUAUUUUGAAUUUCUUUGUUGUAUAUUCGCUAAACUGACAGAGUAGUAAUUAAUUCAACUAAACAUGAUACAACUCUAGGUUAGACCACAUGUCCACAUUAAUAAAUAAACGUGCUUUCUGAUCACAGCUAUCACAGAGUGAGGCACGUCAAAGUUACUCCGUAAGGUUCCACUGAAAGAACAAGUGUUUUAUUGUUUUAUCAUCUAUAUCUAUACCAAUAUUAAAAGACCCAAACGGGCAGAUUUAAUUAAUCUUAUCCAUUAAAUCAUGUCAAUCCAACGACCUAGACUGCUUUAAUGUCGAGCGCUUAACAUGUUUAGCAUGUACUCCCUCAUUAAACUAAUAUAAGAGUGUUUAGAUCACUAUUCUAGUUUAUGGAGGGAGUAGUUAAUUUCAUGCCAAAAAUAGUGAUAAUCACGUAAUACCACGCAAAUAAUAUCUUACUUAAUAUCCGCAUGCACUUAAUAUACUUGCAAAUUAACGUGCAUUGCACGUACACAUUGACUAGUGAUGACAAAAGACACAUUACGUAUUUCCAUUCAAAUUCCUCUUAAUAACGUUAUCUUUGGUAAGAAUGACUCCUCGACGAAGAUAGCACGCAAAGAUUUUAUUCUUAAGCGGUAUCUUUAUCUUCAAUAUCUUCUUCUUAUUAUUAUCAACUGGCACAUCAGAUUUGAUCAACGCUCUAUACACUGAAUCUUCCGAGAAUUUCCCACUCCAUUUAGAUUCCACAGAAAUUCAUCGACUCCAUGUGAUAAAUGUACCGUAGCGAGACGAUUUAUCAAAUCAUCCACCAUGCAAGUCUGGGGCCUAUUAAAUCUCGUCCGAACGUCAUAUUCAGAGGAAAGGAUUCCAGAACAGAAGUUACUUCCAAUUAAUAAGCUGAUCGAUAUAAGAUAAAAAAAAUACUUACAACUAAGAUAAACAAAUUAUCCUCCAGAAACUUGUACUAAGAUAUUUGUUAGCCGCUUAUAUUAUAGAACUCUGUAGAAAAAUAUUAAAAGGUAAUAAAAUAUACGCAUAAAUAAAAUUAUUUUAUAUAUGAAUGCUCAUCUAUUGUAAAUGGUGUACUCUCUCCAAUAAAGAAUAAGUGUCUUAAAGUAGAACUACGACUCUUAUUUUGGAUCGGAAGGAGUAUCAAUUUAAAACAAAUUAUGUAUAGUAAAUUUGAUAUAUAAAAUAAUAAAAGUGUUUGGUAUAAAUAAGUUAUAACUAUUGGCGGAACCAAAGGUUUACCAGAGUGAUGGGCGACGGCAUUGCUAGAUUAGUUUGUUCCCAUUGGUCACUCUUAUGCCUAGGAGUUUGGUUCCCCCGAACCGUUCGAGUUGUUAAUUCGGUGUUUAGAAAAAUUUCGUUGUGCAGAAUCACGCACUGAUCGGUUAAUGGGGAAAGCACUGACCGAUGUUUUUGUGCAUUGUGAGUUUGGGCCAAUAAUCGGUCCUAACCGAACAACACCGAUCAUUUAAUAAUACCAGGAAAAAGUAUACAAUUUCCUCAUUUUUGGCUGAACAAAGGCUUAGGCUACAGUUUUCUCAUGUCAAAACCACAUCACCAAAUUAAAUAAGUUAUUUACUGUUUUCUAAGCAAACCACACCACCAACUUAGGUGCAAUUGAAUCAAGUUAAUCAGGACAUAAGUUAGAGUGGGAAACAAAGUUUAAGUUCGUCAGGUGCGGAGUAUCAGCAGGCGGCUGCGCAGACCAUGUAUUAUAUUUUAUACUAUCUUUUAUGAAAUAUAUAUUUUGCUCCAUCAAUUUUCAAAGUAUAAAACAAAAAUGUUGAAAAAUUCUGGUCUCCCAACUGUCAAAUUGUCCAGAGUUGCAUUUUAUCUAUUUGUUGUCUUACCAUAAAGUUGAAACGAUAAAUUUGCAUGCAUGAAAUUAAACUCAUAUUAUUCCUGACGAAAAAAAUAUGAUUCCUAACUAUUGUCAAAGCCAAAUUUGGCUUCGCAUAUUCAACACAAAAAAAAAUCUUUGUCUAUCAAGUGUUAAAACCGUCGAAAUUUUUAUUUCGUCCCAUUGAAAAGGAUUUUGACAAUGUUGUGGCAAUGGUUUUGCAUUCAUAUCACCAUAGUUUUUUUAUAUAGUUUGGGAAAGAUAUGAUAAUAGAAUAGUGUAACAUUAGAAAAAAUCGAAGCAACUAGAAAGAAAAGUAGGGAAAAACAAGUCAAAAUUUCAGACAAUUGACAAGCAAUAUGUUUAUUUUAGGAAUUUGCAAGUCUAUAUAAAAUAACAAUGGAAAUGAAGAACUUCGUGAAAAAUCGGUAAAACUGAAGGAACCUGCGAACAAUCUGGAAUAUAUCAAAAUUUAUUAAACCUAAAAUCAAUUUAAAAUGUGAAGAAUUAUGUUUCUUGAAAAAAUAAAUAUUUUGAAUUUUAUCAGAUUCCGUCAUUUUUAGAAUAUUUGUGAUAAUUACUCAAUUUCAAAAUUCCUAAAAUAUUACUUUGAUUUUUAUGUUUUUCUAAAAGUAUUUUAAUUUCCCCACUUUAUUCAUGCUGUUUUCCAAGUGUUUGAGGUGCUGCUUUCCAUGUUUAUUUGCACACUUAGCUAAACCAUGUGCAAAACUCGGGAAGAUGAGAAAUUAGAAAAGUUAAUAUUGAAAAAGCGCACGCAACUAGAAAGUAAAACUUGGGGAAAACAAGUCAAAAUUCCAUACAUUUAGUGAACAAUAUGUUUAUGAUAGGAAUUUGCAGGCCUAUAAAAAUGAUCAAAAUUGAAGGAAUUUAGACACUUAGCUACGACAUGUGCAAACCACCUCUAUGGCAACUUCAAAACCGCUUUCUAUGAAGCAGUUAAACUAUUUUCGACAAACUUGACGUUUGAUGGACAAAAAGAAAUUUGGACUAUACUUAGAGCAUCUACAGCCGCAAACACUAAAUCCGGCCCCUCAAACGACUGCGGACGUGCAUGGGUGCGUUCGUGGGCAGUGAUUAGGCAGCCCUCAAAUUUCCUUCUCUGCACCCGAAUAUCUCAUAUUUAAAACCUUAAAUACAUACCAAGUAUGCAAAACGAAAACUUGCGCACUACGUAGAUCAACUAAAUCCUACACUAUCCUAAUCCUUGUCGUCGGAGAUGUCCACGAUCUUCAUGCCAGGCAACGGGUACAUAGGCGGCAGCUGCAACUCCGUCUCCCGUGCGUCGACCUCCACCUCUAGUUUGACAGAAAGCAUGUCGGUCUUUGCUUGUUUCUGCCGGAUGAAGCGCCGGUUGGCAUCCACAUCGGACUCCAGGAUGGUGGUAUGCUCCGCCAUCUAUGUUGCUUGGGCGAUCUCGAACUCCGCCAUGGCGCCUUCCAUGACAAAGCCCGCAACCAGCUUCAGCUCCGCCGCGUACUCCUCCGGCCCAUCCGGAUCCGUCCCCACCAUGGGUCUGGCUGCUGCUCCUCCUCCGGAUCCGGCGAGUCCAGAGGUAGGCCGGUUGCGAGCCGGGCGACGUGCCUAGCCCAAAUCCCCUCGAGCAGCUAGAAAUGCCGCUCCGGAGUUAGCAUAGUGUAUGUGGUUUUUUUCUUCUGCCGGGUCAUGGGGAGACAGACGGCGAGGGAAAAGAGAGGCGGAGAGGGAGAGAAGUGGAUGGGCUCGGGCUGUCGGCACGGAGAGGGAGGAAGCGGAUGUGGCUAGGGCUGCGAGACCUUUGAACAGCUUAAAUAGCAGGAUUUUGGCCCUCUCGCAGCGAGCCGGAGCGGCGCCAUGCGACAUUCACACCCCCACCGAAGGAGACGCAUGUUGGACCGUCGGGUUUCCGGACAAUUACAUGUGGGACCCGAUCGUCAGUUCGACACGGCGACCGUGUCCUGGCCGCCCCAUACCUGCUCCAGAAUUGGUCCGAAUAUGAGAGAAUGCCGGUCAGCCUGGGCAUUUGACAUCGGUUUGAGGCAUCCGAGUGGGUUGGAUUUUUUUGAUCCGGUCAGUGACCGGGACGCCAGCCGGACGCUUGAGACAGUUUUGAGGGACCAUAGAGGCUCUUGGUCGAGUGACCAUGGAUGCUAUUUGUAAGACGAUUACUUUUUAUUCUCGCAAUAAAAUUUGAUUCUGCUCACUGAAUAUUGACACACGUUAUCUAUGCCUCAUUCCGAUCUUAUUUCUGUCGGCGUGUGUCAAAGCGAAACUCUCGCAAUGGACAAAAACCGCUACUUCCACGGCAAAUAAACAAAACGACACGGCAGCGAUAGGUGUGACGUGCACAAGCAGAGUAGCAGCAGAGUGACCCCUCCGAAAGCACCCGGUAUCCCUGAAAACCAACGUCCGCGACCACUGUUUUGCUGCAGACAUCCCAAGCCUCCCUCCUGUAUAUAACCUCGUUCCAAUCCCACUCUUCCUCUCAUCAACAAAUUACACAAGCAUCAAUCAGCCUUCAGCUCAAAAUUCAUUCCAUACUCCACACUCGACUGCUAGCUACCAAUCUCCAGGCAUCACAUAGUUCGGACGGAUCAAGCAGUUGUACUGCCUCCACCAACGCAGAGAAAGAUCAUGGCGGGUGCGGCGAAGGCGUCUUGGAUGGUGGCGAUGAGCGUGGGCGCCGUGGAGGCCCUCAAGGAUCAGGCUGGACUCUGCCGCUGGAACUACGCGCUCAGGUCCAUCCACCGGACUGCCAAGGCCAGGGCCAACGUCCACGGCGCCGUCUCUCAAGGCUCCAAGCAGCUUCCGGCCUCCGCCGCAGCCGUGGCGGAGAAGCAGCGAGCCGAGAAGGCCGAGGAAGGGCUGAGGACGGUGAUGUACCUCAGCUGCUGGGGGCCAAAUUAGCAGCUGCAGCUUGGUACAGCAGCUGCAGCUUGGUACUAGCUAGGCGUGUUAGUGUUUGCUGCAACAACCAUGGCCUGAAAUCUGUCUGGCUUCCCGUGGAAUCCCCCGUUGCAAAAUACCACCACAAUGAUGAUGAUGAAAAAUGAUGUUACUUGAGCCCAUGUCUAUUUGCUUAUUUAUGAUCUUGGUGAGGAAUAUGCAUACAUGCUCUGAUUUGGUGUCUGCUUACAACCCAGCAAAUUGUGACGGUCAACGGGUCAAGGACCUAGUGGCAGGACACUGAGUAGGGUCAGAUCAAAUUUUCAGUGUCCAACAAGAGGAUUUGGGGAUACAGGGACAGCAAGAAGAGGAGAGCAAGUGAGUUCUAUCUCAGUUCUGAAUACCAAUCUUCAGUUACAUACAGUAGGCAUCAGCCUCCAACCUGGACACGGCCACCUCACGCACACGCAACACAAUGAUUUGCUAAGCAGGCUGGGUUGUCUCCGUUUCCCUUCGAUCUUUAGUUAAUACAGUGGCCCGGCCCACGGGCGCGACACAAACAUGCUGAAUUUCUUCCAUCUGCGGCACUUUGUUAAAGUGACACACGCGAUGAAUCCUCGUAUCUGUGCUCAAGGUGUCAUCAAUCAACCAAUCUAUUUACUGUACUUAUAACUUAUAAGUUUUGUUGGUGGACCUGUCUUCGGUUGCUUUGUUACUCCAAAACGAGACCAAACGAGAAGUACUUUGAAUUAGGUCAUGGCGAAUAUGUUCUGAAUUUCUCCGUUGUAUAUUCGCUAAACUGACACAAUAGAAACAUGAUACCUCUUCAGGUUAGACCACAUUAAUAAGUAUCACAGAGGGAGGCACAUCAAAGUUACUCCGUAUCUUGAACUAAAAAAAGUUACUCCGUAUCUUUCUACCAGCAAUUUUGGAUUUUUCCCUAGGGCCAUGAAACCAAAAGAGAAGAAAAAUAAAUAAAAUCAGACUUUCAGAUAAUAGGUACAAUCGGCUGCACAGUAGUUCCUUCCAAUUAAUUAAGCUGAUUGAUAACUAACUGUCCUUGGCUCGGGCCAGUGCCGCGGAAGUUCUGCUUCCCGUCUCUCUUCAAACACUCGAGGCGUAAGGGCAGAACUGUGGCACAAGCUAUCACUGACGACCGCUGGGUCUUGGACCUUGCACACGGCAACAACAGCAACCUUGUCAGCGAGGUUCUUGAUCUGCAUCGUCUCAUUCAGCGCCGGCAGCUCAACUUCCAGGCCGAAGAUCAGGACCAGAUCCGCUGGAACUUGGAGGGAUCAGGUCAGUACAGCUCCCGCUCGGCCUACGCCCUCCAGUUCUUGGGCUCGACGACGGGCAUGUUCCAGGCCAUGAUCUGGGCCAUCUGGGCUCCGGCGAAGCUUAAGAUGUUUGCGUGGCUCCUCCACCAGAACCGGCUGUGGUGCAAUGACCGUCUCCAACGUAGGGGCUGGCCAAACUCCUACUUUUGCCAGCUCUGCCUCAGGAACCUGGAGACCUCGGCUCAUCUGUUCUGGAGCUGCCCGUUCACGAAGACAGUAUGGACUAGCUUGUCCUCUUGGCAGCACUGCCAGGGGCUAAGUAAGGCGUGUCUGCCCAACGAAUGCAGCUCCCUGGAAAAGGUCGAAGCCAUGGUUUCAGCAACAGGGCCAGCACAUGCGAAAGGAAUCAAGUCGCUGAUCAUGCUGGUGCUUUGGAAAAUCUGGCAAGAGCGCAACAACCGCGUUUUCAGAAAGAAAGAGGCUACGGUGCAAGCGGUGAUCAAUGACAUCAGGAGAGAGCUCUGUCUUUGGCAACAGGGCGGUUUCAAAUCCAUUCUGAGCCCCUUCGGGGAUCCUCCAUGAGAUAGUAGUCUUAGAUCCGGGUGCCUCAGGCACCAAGGCUUUUUCCUUCUUUUUGUUUACCUCCUUGAUCCCAGGAUCAUCGCCUUUGUCACUUUGUCAUCUGCUCCCUGCUUAACCAAUGAAACCCCAGCCAUGGCUGGCUCGUUCAAAAAAAAAACUAACUGUCCUCCACAAAGCUUUACUAAGAUAUUUGUUAGCCGCUUAUGUUAUAGAACUCUAUAGCAAGAUAUUCAAAGAUAAUAAACUAGACACAUAAAUAAAAUUAUGUUGUAUAUGAAUGUUCAUCUAAUUUUCCUCUUAUAUGGAUGGAAUUUAACUUACUUAAAAGUCCCAAACAUAUUUGGAAAAAAUAAUAGAAGUUUUACAACAAAUUGGAGUUGCUUUGUCAUUAUAGUAAUCUCAAUAGUUUUUUUAUAAUAUUUAACUCUAAGUUACUACUUGGGGUUCAUGUUGUUAGGUAUAGUAGACAUUUUUUUUGUAAAUGUUGUACUCUCUCCUAUCAAACAUAAGUGUCUUAAAAUAAAACUAUGACACUUAUUUUGGAUCGGAAGGAGUAUCAAUUUAAAAUAAAAUUAUAUAUAGUAAAUUUGAUAUAUAAAAUAAAUAAAGUAUUUGGUAUAAGUAAGUUAUCUGGCGGACGACGAGGAUGCUAGCCAUGACGGCUGCGUCCCGGCGGACGACGAGGUUGGUGCCGCCCAUGGUGGCUGCAUCUCGGCGAACGACGAGGUUUGUGCCGCCCAUGGUGGAGGACCGGGCGGAAGUGGAGGCCGACCAGAUGGAGGGGGUGGUGGUUGCUACCUCUUGAGCAUGCGUUGGUUUUCCCUUGAAGAGGAAAGGGUGAUGCAGUAAAGUAGCGUAAGUAUUUCCCUCAGUUUUUGAGAACCAAGGUAUCAAUCCAGUAGGAGGCCACAUGCAAGUCCCUCGUACCUACACAAACAAAUAAAAACCUUGCAACCAACACGAUAAAGGGGUUGUCAAUCCCUUCACGGCCACUUGCAAAAGUGAGAUCUGAUAGAGAUGAUAAGAUAAUAUUUUUGGUAUUUUUAUGAUAAAAAUUAAAAGUAAAGAUUGCAAAAUAAACGGCGACAGAAAUAGCUAGUUGACAGGAGAUUAAUAUGAUGGAAAAUAGACCCGGGGGCCAUAGGUUUCACUAGUGGCUUCUCUCAAGAUAGUAUAAGUAUUACGGUGGGUGAACAAAUUACUGUCGAGCAAUUGAUAGAAAAGUGCAUAAUUAUGAGAAUAUCUAGGCAUGAUCAUGUAUAUAGGCAUCACGUCCGCAACAAGUAGACCGACUCCUGCCUGCAUCUACUACUAUUACUCCACACAUCGACCGCUAUCCAACAUGCAUCUAGAGUAUUAAGUUCAUAAGAACAGAGUAACGCAUUAGGCAAGAUGACAUGAUGUAGAGGGAUAAACUCAAGCAAUAUGAUAUAAACCCCAUCUUUUUAUCCUCGAUGGCAAUAAUACAAUACGUGUCGUUUCCCCUUCUGUCACUGGGAUCGAGCAACGCAAGAUUGAACCCAAAGCUAAGCACUUCUCCCAUUGCAAGAAAGAUCAAUCUAGUAGGCCAAACCAAACUGAUAAUUCAAAGAGACUUGCAAAGAUAACCAAUCAUACAUAAAAGAAUUCAGAGAAGAUUCAAAUAUUGUUCAUAGAUAAUCUUGAUCAUAAACCCACAAUUCAUUGGAUCUCGACAAACACACCGCAAAAAGAGUUACAUCGAAUAGAUCUCCAAGAAGAUCGAGGAGAACUUUGUAUUGAGAUCCAAAUAGAGAGAAGGACCCAUCUAGCUAAUAACUAUGGACCCGAAGUUCUGUGGUAAACUACUCACACAUCAUCGGAGAGGCUAUGGUGUUGGUGUAGAAGCCCUCCGUGAUCGAUUCCCCCUCCGGCGGAGUGCCGGAAAAGGCCCCAAGAUGGGAUCUCGCGGGUACAGAAGGUUGCGGCGGUGGAAAUAGGGUUUCAUGGUGCUCCUCGAUGGUUUCGGGGUACAUGGGUAUAUAUAGGAGGAAGAUGUAGGUCGGUGGAGCCACGAGGGGCCCACGAGGGUGGGGGCGCGCCCGGGGGGGGGGAGGGAGGUGCGCCUCCCUGCCUCGUGGCCUCCUCGUUGAUUUCUUGACGUCCACUCCAAGUCCUCUGGAUCACGUUUGUUCCAAAAAUCACACUCCCGAAGGUUUCAUUCCGUUUGGACCUGCUUGGUAUUCCUUUUCCGCGAAACACUGAAAUAGACAAAAAAACAGCAAUUUGCACUGGGCCUUGGUUUAGUAGGUUAGUCCCAAAAAUAAUAUAAAAGUGUAUAAUAAAGUCCAUUAAAUAUCCAAAACAGAAUAUAUAAUAGCAUGGAGCAAUAAAAAAUUAUAGAUACGUUGGAGACGUAUCAGUGGUGUCGCGCCGUGCGCCAGCGUUGGGUGAUCGAUAAGACCCAAAGACGAAGACGGUGGCGUCGGGCCGUGCGAAACCAGAGGCAUCGGGCGCGCGUCAGUGCCGCAUGAUGAUGGUGAUGGCAUGCCAUAGGGAUGGUCAUUCGGCGCUGGGGCCGUCUGGCUGUGGUGGUGAACCUGCGGUGGUCGGCCUGUCUUGCCGUGCUGGUUGUGCGGUGUGUUGGAAAUAUGCCCUAGAGGCAAUAAUAAAUGGUUAUUAUUAUAUUUCUUUGUUCAUGAUAAUAGUCUAUUGUUCAUGCUAUAAUUGUAUUAUCCGGAAAUCGUAAUACAUGUGUGAAUACAUAGACCACAAUAUGUCCCUAGUAAGCCUCUAGUUGACUAGCUCGUUGAUCAACAGAUAGUCAUGGUUUCCUGACUAUGGACAUUGGAUGUCAUUGAUAACGGGAUCACAUCAUUAGGAGAAUGAUGUGAUGGACAAGACCCAAUCCUAAGCAUAGCAUAAAAGAUCGUGUAGUUUCGUUUGCUAGAGCUUUUCCAAUGUCAAGUAUCUUUUCCUUAGACCAUGAGAUCGUGCAAGUCCCGGAUACCGUAGGAGUGCUUUGGGUGUGCCAAACGUCACAACGUAACUGGGUGACUAUAAAGGUGCACUACGGGUAUCUCCGAAAGUGUCUGUUGGGUUGGCACGGAUCGAGACUGGGAUUUGUCACUCCGUGUGACGGAGAGGUAUCUCUGGGCCCACUCGGUAAUGCAUCAUCAUAAUGAGCUCAAUGUGACUAAGGCGUUAGUCACGGGAUCAUGCAUUGCGGUACGAGUAAAGAGACUUGCCGGUAACGAGAUUGAACAAGGUAUUGGGAUACCGACGACCGAAUCUCGGGCAAGUAACAUACCGAUUGACAAAGGGAAUUGCAUACUGAUUGAUUGAAUCCUCGACACCGUGGUUCAUCCGAUGAGAUCAUCGUGGAACAUGUGGGAGCCAACAUGGGUAUCCAGAUCCCGCUGUUGGUUAUUGACCAGAGAGGCGUCUCGGUCAUGUCUGCAUGUCUCCCGAACCCGUAGGGUCUACACACUUAAGGUUCGGUGACGCUAGGGUUGUAGAGAUAUAUGUAUGCGGAAACCCGAAAGUUAAGUUGUUCGGAGUCCCGGAUGAGAUCCCGGACGUCACGAGAGGUUCCGGAAUGGUCCGGAGGUGAAGAAUUAUAUAUAGGAAGUCAAGUUUCGGCCACCGGGAAAGUUUCGGGGGUUACCGGUAUUGUACCGGGACCACCGGAAGGGUCCCGGGGUCCACGGGGUGGGGCCACCUAUCCCGGAGGGCCCCGUGGGCUGAAAGUGGAAGGGAACCAGCCCUUAGUGGGCUGGGGCGCCCCCCUUGGGCCUCCCCCCAUGCGCCUAGGGUUGGGAACCCUAGGGGGGGAGCUUCCCCCUUGCCUUGGGGGGCAAGGCAACACUUUCCCCUCUUUGGCCGCCGCCCCCCCUUGGAGAUCCCAUCUCCCUGGGCCGGCGCCCCCAGGGGGCCUAUAUAAAGGGGGGGGGAGGGAGGGCAGCAACCUACAGCCUUGGGCGCCUCCCUCCUCCCCUGCAACACCUCUCUCUCUCUCGCAGAAGCUCGGCGAAGCCCUGCCGGAGAACCGCUACAUCCACCACCACGCCGUCGUGCUGCUGGAUCUCCAUCAACCUCUCCUUCCCCCUUGCUGGAUCAAGAAGGAGGAGACGUCGCUGCACCGUACGUGUGUUGAACGCGGAGGUGCCGUCCGUUCGGCACUCGGUCAUCGGUGAUUUGGAUCACGGCGAGUACGACUCCGUCAUCCACGUUCAUUGGAACGCUUCCGCUCGCGAUCUACAAGGGUAUGUAGAUGCACUCCCUUCCCCUCGUUGCUAGUAUACUCCAUAGAUGCAUCUUGGUGAACGUAGGAAAAUUUUAAAAUUAUGCUACGAUUCCCAACACGGUGGUCGGCCCGUUUGGAUGUGGCGUUGAGGGUGCUGAGAGUUGGGGGGAAACGACUGACCAUGGUGGUGGAGGAGGCCGUGGUCCUGACCGUACUGAAAGCGAGGGGCAGGUUGAAUCUGUGGUCGGAGAAGAGAAGGCGGUGCCAGAAGGAUUUGGUCCUGAAAGUGUUGGGCCGGGAGAAUCGGCGGCGCGGGCAGGAAGUUGGGACAAAGGUGAUCAGGGUGGACGCGUGGGGACGCGGCAGCAGCAUAGGACUGCCAGUGGCCGCCACAUGGCUGCCGGUGUGGGAGGGAAAGCUCGGAGCAUCGUAAGAUUUUGGGAAGGGGUUUUCUGAAUGGAUCCCCACCCCACAAAGGUGGAGGCGUCUUUGAAGCGUUCGGGGUGCGGGUGCAUGGAGCCAGACAGUAUAGCGAGCGAACUGCGAGGUGAAAAGCCUGACUACUUUUUCCUUUUCUUUUGGGGAGGGUAAAAGCAUUGCUAACAGUGGAUGCUAUCUUCUCCUAUCACUCUGUCUGUACUCGGUUUUUACCGUACAUCCUUCAAAGUACAUCCCUGUAUAUAACCUCCUCUUAGGGGGCGUUUGGUUUACAGGCUAUUCACCAUAGGGACAGGGAUAGACAAUUUUUUAGGGGAUAUCACUUGUUUGGUUUACUAGCCAGGAGGGAUAGGGAUAACCAGAUACUAGCGAAUAUUCCUUCAAAACGUGGUUGACGGGAGUCACGAGAUUAUGGCGGAUGAGGGCAGCCACCCGCGCUUGCGUGAAACGUUUUCCCAUGCGCGCCCUCUGUCGCGUGUCCGUGGCAAUCGGCCCGGCGGCGCUCUCGGAUGCCUCCGCCGCUGGCACACCACAGCCCACGCCGGCGCCCUGCUUGGCCGUCGGCCAAGGCCCUGCUCCUCGAGACGAGGCGAGCCGCGGGUGCUCCAUCCUUUCCAGGCAACUCGCCUCCCACUCUCGGCCAUGGCCCCUACCUCCAUCAACCCCCCUCUCUCGGCCUGUUGUGACCGUGGCUGGCGGGGAACGGGGAGCUCCGGCGGCUGGGAACGAGGAUCACUUGAGAUCUUCCAGCGGACACAUGUGACGCAGAUGGGGAGACCUCUGGUGGUGGGGAACAAGGAGAUCUCCUGUGGUUUGGAACGAGGAGAGCUUGCCUAUCUGUUGUCUAUAUGUAUGUGACAGUCUUUCAACUCUCCCGUUUUCUCGACAGGUAGCACAUAUGAACACUACUGAUUUAAUAGUAUGGACAAUCACCUGUAUGAUUGUACAAAGAAGAACAUGUAUACAUGUAUGAAUAUUUGGUAAAAAAAUUCGACAAAGGGUGGAUUUUAUUAACUCAAAAUGAAGGAUCAAGGGGAUACAAACACAUUGAGCACACACCCGGCCUCUGCAUAACCAGGAUGCACACAGCCAACACCAACACACACAAAAGAGAAAAAAAACGCCAGCAAAGAGCAAAGUCAUACAAGACUCAAGCUAUGCCUAAGCGAGGGAAAAGAAAAAGGAAAAAACACUCUGAAACGAUCAAAACAACGGUUGAUAAACUACAUCAACGACCAUAUCCGCACCAACCAUCUCUUGACAGAACAAGCGCAACGAGAAAGUUUCUUCAACAGCAACGCCUUCAGGAAGGAAACGACGCUUAAACGUCGCCGUCACUGGACCCGACCAACAAAGGUCAGACUCUAGGUUUUCACCCCGAAGAACAAGUCUGAGCACAUCCGAGCAAUGCCUUCAUCAAGGUAACGACGCAAAAACAUCGGCAUCGCCAGGUAUAACCAAUUCAGGCCAGACCUAGGGUUUUCACCCCGGAACUCGAGACCGGGUACUCGAGAAGCACCACCAAAUCAAAGUCAUCAUGUUGUCGCCACCACUUUCCGCGAUCCCAGCAGCUAAAGGUGAGGCACAGUCUUUACAUGCCGGCAUGGCUUGCCGCUGCACAACCAUCUCCUCUGCGUCAAGCCGUCGUCCAUAGAAUUUAUCUCACCGCUGAAUGCAAACUGGCCGGAUUGAGAGCCACCGAAACUCCCAAUGGAGCCUUCCGGUUACAUCACACAACCUCGCCAGUGCGAGCUGCUGGCAAUAACCAAUGGAUCCUAAGAAAAAACUCUCAUGAAGACCCUUGAAUGGCCACUGCAAUCUGCGGCUCGAGUGGCCGGACGGUGCCGCCAUGGUCAGGAUGAAAAUUGCCCCCUCGCAUCGAUCGGACGAACCACCUGCGGCCAAGUGACAAGCAUCGGUCAACCGAUGUAAGUCCCAAGGCGCCACCACCAACCUCCUUCGGCCUUGUGAUCUGUCGGCGGCAACAGCGGCGAGCGUCUUGGGUCGCUUGGGAAGAUGACCCUUAUCACCAACGCUGCCAUGCUCUGGACAGCCGGAGGAAGCUUCGGUCCGAACCUGCAUGAUCUUGACCGCAGGCUGCUGGAGGAGAAUGGAUGGUCAUCUCCACCCAGGCCAUUGCCAAGGCAUCACUAUGCUGCCCAGUUCAGAUUCCCAGAUCGCUCUAGCCAUUGACCUAUGCAUGUCCCUGUGCACAGAUCGCCUGCCGCUGCAUGUCCAUGCGCAGAUCGCUCUAGCCUUCGGACGUUGCAUGAAGAUCGCUGCUGAGUUGUUGUUCACCUCGCGCGCCGUUCAGCGCCUUGCGUAGAAGCCAUCGCCCGGAGCCCCGCUGCCGCCGUCAGCCACACAGGCUUUGCUCGGCAGCGUCGUUCGGCGGCGGCGAGGGAAGCGAGAGAGGUGGGGAGGUCCCGAAGAAACAUGAAUAUUUGGUAAAUAGUGACCAGUUCAUGGUAUUUGAUUGUAUGGACAGUCACGUGUAUGAUUGUACAAAGAACAUGUAUACACGUAUUUGAUUGUGCAAAGAGGAACAUGUAUAUAUGUAUUUGAUAUACAAAGAAGAGCAUGUAUUAAUAUUGCGUUGUAGAAGAACAUAAAAAAAUAACUAAUGACUAUCCAUAUCCACCUUUUAUCCUUGCAACCAAACAAUAAAAAGCGGUUAUCCAUCUCAUCUAAUCUUUCGCAACCAAACGACAAAAACUGGCUAUCCCCAACCAGGUGGUUAAGGAUAUCCUCAGCCAAGCCAACCUCGCCCGUGAACCAAACGCCACCUUAGUCCCACUCUUACUCUCGUCAACACAAGCAUCAAUCACCCUUCAGCUCAGUACAUUCACAACCACAAAGCCUGCGCUCUACACUCGACUAGUAGCUACUAAUCUUCAGUCAUCACCUAGUCUAGAAUCAACAGAUCAGUCAGCGGUGCUGUCUCCACCAACACAGAGAGGGAUCAUGCCGGGUGCGGCAAAGGCGUCUUGGAUGGUGGUGAUGAGCGUUGGCGCGGUGGAGGCGCUCAAGGAUUAGGCCGGCCUCUGCCGGUGGAACUACGCGCUUAGGUCCAUCCACUUGGUAGCGAAGGCGAGGGCCAACAUCCGCGGCGGCGUCUCCCAGGGCGGCAAGAAGCUUCCAACCUCUGUGGCGGCGGUGGCGGAGAGGCGGCGAGUGGAGAAGGAUGAGAAGGGGCUGAGGACGCUGAUGUAGCUCAGCUGCCGGGGUCCCAAUUAGCAGCUGCAACUUGGUAGUUGCUACUACCUAGGCGCGUCUGUGUUUGCUGUAACAACGAUGGCCUGAAACAUGUCUGGCUUCCCGUGGAAUCCCCCAUUGUAAAAUACCACCAUAAUGAUGAUGAUGGUGAUGAAUGAUGUUACUUGAGCUCCAUGUCUAUUUGCUUAGUUAUUAUCUUGGUGAGGAAUAUGCAUCCAUGCUCUGAUUUGGUGUCUGCUUACAACUCAGAAAGAACUUACAGCUACACUUAAACAACAAAUCAUAGCAAAUUGUAACGUUCAAUGGGUCAAGAGCCUAGUGGCAGCACACUGAAUAGGUUCAGAUCAAUUUUUCAGUGUCCAACAGGAGGAUUUGGGGUUGGGGAUACAUGGACAUCAAGAAGAGGAGAGGAGAUGCAUUCCCGGAUCCAGACCAAUCUUUAGUUACAUCAGCCUCCUACCUGGAUACAGCCAACUCAUGCACACGCAACACCACCCUUUGCUAAACAUGUCGGGCUGUCUCGGUUCCCCUUUGAUCUUCAGUUAAUGCAGUGGCCCGCCCCACAGGCUCGACACAAACAUGCUGAAUUUCUUCAGUAUGCGGCACAGGCGAUGAAUCCUCGUAUCUAUACUCAAGGUGUCAUCAAGCAACCAAUCCAUUUACAGUACUUAUCAGUUUUGUUGGUGAACCUGUCUUCGGUUGCUUUGUUAGUCCGAAACAAGACCAAACGAGAAGCACUUCGAAUUGGUUGAAAGUACUUUCUUUCUUCUUCUUUUUCGCGCAUAGUUUGAAGAAAGUACUUUCUGUGGCUCUAGUCGACCUGAUGCGCGACGAGGUCGAAUGAAUAUAUUUUGAAUUUCUUUGCUGUAUACUUUAUUCGCUAAGCUGAUACAGUAGUAAUCACUGUCCAAAAAAUCUUCCGAUUCAGCGAUUUAUCGUCCGAUUUAUCGCUACUCUUGGGGUGACCGAUAAGAUUAUGCCUUAUCUUCACCGUUUAUCGUUUGAGCCGAUUUAUCGCUAUGACAAGCGAUUUAUCAGGAAUCUGCCGAUAAAUAGGACCUAUUAAUAGCACUAUGUUUGCAAAAGUUAUGUUUAUUUGCAUUUUGUGGACCUUGUUACGCAAUAUGUAUUGUUGUGCUAUUUUGCUUGUCAUUAUAAGAGGAUUCAAAGGCUGGGAAUCAAGGUAACACUUUUGUCCAAUAUUUUUUUGGUUUUGAAUUUAGCAUAUUUUAGUAUUGGGAACCCCGAAUUUGAAAAAAAAAUGACAGAUUAAUAGUCGACCGAUAAAAUCGAUUAAUCUAUCGAUUUCCGAUUAGUCUCUAAUCCCCAGCUGACCGAGACGCUAACGCUAAGCGAUAUCCUCAACAUUGGUACUAAUUCAACUAAACAUGAUACAGCUCCAGCUUCAGAUUAAACCACAUGUGCACAUUAAUAAGUAAAUGUGCUUUCUGAUCACAGCUAUCAUAGAGUGAGGCACAUCAAAGUUACUCAAUAUCUUUCUUCUUCCAAUGAAAGAUCAACACUUUCGAUUUUGCCCUAGGGCCAUGAAACCAAAAGAGAAGAAAAACAAAUAAAAUCAGACAUUCAGUUAAUAGGUACAAUCAGGUGCACAGUAGUUCCUUCCAAUUAAUAAGCUGAUCGAUAUAAGAUAAAAAAUACGUACAACUAAGAUAAACAAAUUGUCCUCCACAAACUUGUACUAAGAUAUAUGUUAGCCGCUUAUGUUAUAGAACUCUCUAGCAAAAUAUUCAAACGUAAUAAAAUAGACGAAUAAAUAAAAUUAUUUUUUAUAUGAAUGUUCAUCUAAUUUUUCUCUUAUAUGGAUGGAAUUUAACUUACUUAAAUGUCCCAAACAUAUUUGGAAAAAUAAUAUAAGUUUAACAACAAAUUGGAGUUGGUUUGUCAUUAUUGUAAUCUUAAUGGCUUUUUUUAAUAAUAUUUAACUCUAAGUUACUACUUGGGGUUCAUGUUGUUAGGUAUAGCAGACAAUUUUUAAAAAAUGUUGUACUCUCUCCGAUGAAAAUAAGUGUCUUAAGUAAAACUACGACACUAACUUUGGAUCGGAAGAGUAUCAAUUUAAAACAAAAUUAUGUAUAGUAAAUUUGAUAUAAUAAAUAGAAGUGUUGUCUAUAAAUAAGUUAUAACCAUUGGUGGAACCAGAGAUCGAGGUUUACUGGAGUGACGGGCGAUGACAUUCCUAGAUUAGUUUGCUCCCAUUGGUCACUAUGUACGGGUGGUAUGAAUCACUACCGGAGACCCAGGGCGAUCGACUAUGCUCAACCCAGCGCUUUAUUCUUCCAUUGAUGAUAACCUUAUUUCUAAACUGCAUGCACAAUUAAAAUUGAUUAUUCUAAUCAAUCCUGCAUACUUUCAUCAUGUAUUGUGAUUCUUUUUUCGAUGCCUUAGUUAUGUCAUCAUUGUUAUCUUCAACACUAUUUAAAAAGACGUAAUAUUCCGUCUUUAGUCUUACGUCUUUUGUUUCGUCCAACCUCCCACAUCCCUGCAACCCCACAUCGUCUCCCCUUCUUUUGUCUAUCUCUGGUUUAUUUUCAUGUCACUCCCUUUCCUGGUUCGAUAGGAUGCAACCCACACACCAUAAUCAAUCACUAUCGACGCCUCCCACACUCUUCUCACUUCUCCCAACCUUGGGUUUCCAGACUCCACUACUAUAGAACCGAAUAACACCGGCAAAUCAUAACAUCAUUGCUGUGCCAACGGCCUAUCAUUAGUUCCGGGUCGGUAAUGACUUUAUCAUCACUAACAAUCCCAAUGGAAUGUGGCUGAUGAUGACUACCGUCUGAAUGGUUGGCUGAGAAACCAAAAAAGUUGGGGUACACCAGCUGCCAAAAAUGAACCAGGAUAAACCUCAGCUUUUAAAGAAGUGUUGGUUUAAAAUACCCCUUUGGUUAGAUUCCAAUUUUUUAGCCAAAAGUUGGCAGCACAAACUGAAACAAACACCAAUUGCCAAAAAAGAACUAGGAAAAACCUCAGUUUUUAAAGAAGUGUUGGUUGUUUAGAAUACCACUUUGGUUUAAAUUCCAACUUUUUUAGCCAAAAGUUGGCAGCUCAAACUGAAACAAACUCAGGCUUGUUGUCUCACUACUAUCACAGGCUUGAGGCAUCUGCCGUCGGACAUGUGCUUUUCUCGGAGUCUGUGUCGCCUCAGUUUGUCCGGAUGCGGAUGCCGGGCAUGGAGCAACUCGUUGCCUGCACGUUGUACGCCCCUCAAGCGGGUGAGCCGUCAUACGACGAUGUGGACUGACAAAUGUUGGAGAUAAGCAACCAAUCCAUUUAGUACUUAUCAGUUUUGUUGAUGGACCUGCCUUUGGUUGUUUUGUUAGUCCAAAACGAGACCAAACAAGAAGUACUUCGAAUUGGUUGAAAGUACUUUUUGUGGCUCCAGUCGACCUGAUGUACUAAUAUGUUUGGAUUCCUUUGUUGUAUAUUCGCUAAAAAAAAUUGCGGGUGUAUAUUCCCGAAACUGAAGCAAUAGUAAGUCAACUAAACAUGAUACAACUUCAGGUUAGACCACCUUAAAAAGGAAACAUGCUUUCUUUAUCACAACUAUCACAGCGAGGUACAUCAAAGUUACUCCCUCCAUUCCAUAAUAUAACAUCGUUUUGCCAACUAAAAUAGCUCGCAAAACGAUUCUAUAUUGUGGGACGGAGGGGUACUCCGUAUCUUUCUAGUUUCCACUAAAAGAGCAGCAAUUUGGAUUUUGCCCUAGGACCAUGGAACCAAAAUAGAAGAAAAAUAAAUAAAAUCAGUCAUUCAGAUAAUAGGUACAAUCAGGCGCACAGUAGUUCCUUCCAAUUAAUAAGCUGAUCGAUAUAAGAUAAAAAAUACUUGCAACUAAGAUAAACAAACUGUGCUCGACAAACUUGUACUAACAUAUUUCUUAGACGUUUAUAUUAUAGAAUUCUAUAGCAAACUAUUCAAAGGUAAUAAAAUAGACUCAUAAACAAAAUUAUUUUGUAUAUGAAUGCUACUUCUAAUUUUUCUCUGAUAUGGAUGGAAUUUAACUUAAUUAAAUGUCCCAAACAUAUUUGGAAAAUAUAAGAUAAGUUUUACAACAAAAUAGAGUUAGUUUAUCAUUAUAGCAAUGUCAAUGGUAAUUUUUUGUGGAUAAAUGUUAACUAUAUUUGGCAUUUUUGUUGUUAGGUAUAGUAGACAAAAAUUGUUGUUUUAAAAAAAGCAAUUUAAAACAAAAUAAUGUAUAGAAAAUAUGAUAUAUAAUAGAAAGUAAUUUUUUGGCAUAAAUAAGUUAUAACCCAUUAGCGAAACCAAAUCAAGUUUUGUGGAGGUGACGCACAACGACAUUCCUCGAUUAGUUUAUUCCCAUUGGUGAAUAUGUACGGGAGGUAUGAAUCUGCAUCGGAGACCAAGACAACAGACCAUGCUUACCCAAGUGGUGAAUCUGCCACUAGUGAUAAUCAUAUUUCUAAACUGUAUUAACAAUUAAAUUUGACCAUUCUAAUCGAUCGUCUAUGCUUUCACCAUGUUUUGCAAUUUUCCUCUUAAUAUGUGUUGACCUUAAUUAUGUCAUCAUUAUUAUCUUCUAACACCAUCUAGAAAGACUUAAUAUUCCGUCUCAAAUCUUAUAUCUUCUCUUUCGUGCGACCCCCCACAUCCCUGCACCCCCACAUCGUCUCCCUUUUUGUCCAUGCCCGCUUUAUUUACGUGUGCCUCCCAUUCUUGGUACGCUAGGACGCAACCCACACACCACAAUCGAACCGAUGCCUCCCUCACCCUUCUUACUACCUCCCAAUCUAGGGUUUCCAACCCCCACUACUACAGAACUGAAUAUUACUGACCGGCCAAAUCAUAUCAUCACUGAUGCGCCAACGACCCGUCAGUAGUUCCUGGACGGUGAUGACUGUAUCAUCACAAACGAGCCAGGUGGCCGGUCAAUGAAGAUGACUAGAAGCUGAAUGGUUGGUUGACAAGCCAAAAAGUUGGGGUACACCAGCCGCCAAAAAUGAACUAGGGGGAAACCUUAGCUUUUAAAGAAGUUGAUUGUUUAGAAUACCCCUUUGGUUCAGAUUUCAACUUUUUUAGCCAAAAGUUGGCAGCUCAAAGUGAACAAACACCAGUUAGCAAAAAUGAACUAGGGGAAAUCCAGCUUUUAUAGAAGUGUUGGUACCUUAGAACACCCCAGCCUUUGGUUCAGAUUCUAGCCUUUUUAGCCAAAAGUUGGCGGCUCAAACUAAAACGAACACAAGCUUGUGGUCUCACUAUCAUCACAAGAGCGUGUGGUAUUGUGGUAGAACUCUCCGGUUGAAUUUGUGAUUGUGGUGACCCUUGCGAAAUGUCAAAACAGUCAAAAUUUUGUAUUUGCCACACUGAAAGAGAUCUGAACAAUGUGGAGACAACAGUUUUGCGUACGUGACAACAUAGCUGCCACAAACAAUUGACAAAACUCAGAAAUAGAGGAAAUAAAGAAAUAAAUAUUUCAUUUUAUGGAAACUCAGCAAAUUUCAAUAAUAAGUCUAGUAAAUUUAUUAUCUUUGAGUAUUAAUGAAACAAAUAGAAAUCCAGGAUUACAUUUAGAUAAAACUUAAAAAAACAGAAGGAAAUAAACAAAAAACUCUGAUAUUCUAGAAAACAUUAAAAAUAUGAGGAUAUUAAAAUAAAAAUAGGAGAAAAUUACCACCGCUUUAUCUCAACCAAACGGCUCUGAGGGGGUUCAUUGUGACCUGCCUCCGAGGGAAUGCCAGCCAGUUAACAUAACUGAAACAGAAAGCUUCUAAUUUUCAUCUAUCUCUAUGUUUUUCAUAACAUUUUUUAUUUUUUGCAUAUUUAAAUUCCUGAAAUAUUUUAUAAUGGUUUUUCUCUUCAUAUAUUUCUUGACUGAGUCGAAUUUAUUUUCUCGCCGAGCUGCCAAGGAAUUGGCCAUGUUAGCAUUAAAAUUACUUUCAGUGAAGCAACAUGCUAAAUUGGGACGGUUCUCGUACUACGACUGUGUCAUAUAGAUGUUCAGUACUCCCUGUCUCCCUCUGCCAAAACUUAUAAGUGGCUAUUGUAGUAAAGAAAAUUUGUUUUUUCUAAGUUGUGCAUGGAUUAAAGUUCUAUAAAAUUCUUAAUUUAUUUUCAUGCCGAUAGCAAAACAGCAGUAUGAAGGAGUCAAAAUUAGAUGAUGAUUAUUAUUUCUUAUUUGAAAAUAGAAGUCUUUCUAUUUUUGAUGUGCCUGAGAAACCAUGGGAGGGCCAUUUGAAUUAUUGAUGCUAUUUCUAGGAGACAGGUUCAGUGACUCGCAAUAAGAAAUUCAAUUAUGCUCGUUGGAUCUUGACACAGGUUAUUGUCAAUGCGUCGUUCCGAUAUUAGAGCAUCUCUAGCAGACCCGCAAAAUCCCAAUCCACAUAAGUGUUUUUUGCAGUUCGUGGAAAAGUCCAUAUGCAGGCCGGCACGGGCGAGGUCAGACUCGGAUCCUGCAAAAUGGACCCGUAAAAAAGGAUAUUCGGCAAAUAUGCUCUUUUACGGGUCGGCUACGCGGGGUCUGCUCAGGCACCGCCGCGUUGACCCACAAACCGAAUACACCCAAUUCACGAAUUUGACAUCGGUUCUAACAAAUAAGUUCAAAUUCAAACAAUAGAACACAGUUCACGCGCAAAUAAAAACUUAAGUUUUGUAGGACAAACGCAAAAGAUGGUCUUGCAGAAGUGACGACCACGUCUGGCAUCAUCUUGGUCGAUCUUCACUCCGCGCCAUCGAGUCCAUGGAGUUCAUCGGAACCACCGAAUCCAUCUCCGAUGCUUGUUCCAACUCCCGCACCGAAAUCAUCGACAUUGGUUCCAAACCCCGCUGAGAAAACCUCUUCGGCACUGUAACACACACUAGCCGAUGCAACCAUUCUCUUCUUUAAGAUUUCUCUUCUUGCCAUAUCAUGCCAUUCUUUGGUGAGGUCGUCCAUGUCAUUGCGGUUCAUUGUGAUGAUCUUGUUCUCUUCGGCGAGCAACUUGGACAUGGCUUUGUUUUCAGAGGCACAUGCUCUUCUCUCCUCAAUGGCCGCUUUGCGCCGCCCCUCUUCCUUGAGCAACUGCCAUUUUUUUGCUUCUUCCUUGCCUUCUUCUCGACCAACUCUUUCUUAAUCUCCAACGACUUCAACAACAUCAAAUCAUUUGAUUGCACCAUGGCAUCAAUCUUCUCCCUCAAGCUCGAAGAUUCGUGCUCUCUCUUCAUCUUCUCCUUAGUCUUCUUGUCGACAUCGGGCUUGUUCAAGUUUCUUGGACCAUCAUCAUCCUCAUCUUCAUCCAUGUUAGUAAGUGAACCUCUCUUCGGUGGGGAUUCUUUGUCAAUCAACUUCCACUUCUCGCACUCUUUGAGCAAGUCCCAACAAUGCUCUAGUUUGAAGAAUUUACCUUCCGAAGCUUCCAUGUCUUUGUAUCUAUGUUGGCCAAUUUUGUCCUACACAAUUUGAACAAACUCAAUAUGAUGUGCACAACUUGAACAAAGUCAAAACGAACUCACAUAGUCGGAUUCCACGGUUCCACUUGGAGGUGCAUUGCGUGCUUGCUCCAAGCAAGCUGCCAAACGGCUGCAAAUUGGCUCGAUCACAUCCCAACACCCUUGAAGCGACUGAAAGGUGCAUGGAGUCCUAUUGGGAUAUUUUGCCAUCAUGCGGAAGUAUUGAUCUUCGAUCCUUUGCCAAUACCUCUUGGUGGUUUGAGAAGUUCCCGUGCAUGCAUCAAGAGACCCCGCACUCCAUGCCCUGAUCAAGAUUUGAUCUUCCAAGAUCGUGUAGUUCUUCGAUCUCUGGCUUUUUUCACUUUUUGUUUGCGAUUGCUCAUACGCCCCCUCAUCGAUCUCCUCCACUUCUUCCUCACCACCAUGAUCAUCCACGCCGCCCUCCGUUUCAUUGUAAUCGAAUGCGGCGAACGGGGCUUGAUCGAUGUCGACGGUGUUGGUAUCCAACAAGCUCACGAACUCGGUAGUUGCAUUGUUCGAACCACCGCUAUAGUGAACGACAACAAGUCACGAGCUAUUGCAAAUGGCGAAAAGCAAAGGAAAUUGCCAUGACCAAAGACGCAUACCUACCGGCCAUUUCGUCAAACACCUCGCCUGCGGUGGGAGCAGCACCGUUGAGCGGCAUCGCCGGGGAACCUCUUUCCGGGGCGGAGGGAGUGGAUGAAGGAGGCGGCUUCUUUGUAGCCGGAAUCCUCUUCCUCUUUACGCCGGUGGCCUUCGCGACCUUCUCCGCCGCCGGCCGGGAUCGCGCAGCGGCGUUGGCGCCCGGAGCGCGGGCCUUCGCGGCGGGGGCAGGCGGAUUCCCGCCCUGCACGACCACGUUGCCCUGCCGCUUGCGGGCAGGCGCGAGGUACCUUGGGCGACGGCCGGGCCAACAUGGCCGGCGACGAGAUCCGCCCGAGGGGAUUGAGCGUGCGCGACCUCGACGGUGACGAGGGACAUCACGGAGUCAUCCAUGGCGGCGAAGGACUGCCGAGGAAGAUGCACCGGAGCGGGAGGUGACGGGGCAAUGGUGACGGAAGGUGGGGGGAGCGGGAACGGCCGCUCGGAAAUGUCCCUCCCGCCAAAUCUCGCUGCGGAUAGGGGCCGAGCUCGGAUCGUCCUCCCAGCCUGUGAAUCUAGAGGUCGUGGGAGAUCUUUUGCCGCGCCCCGCAAAAAAAUUUAAGGGUCGGCUGCGAAUACGGUGUCUGAUCGGACAGGUUUUUCCGCCCCAACCCGUAUUUUGACGGUUAUUUUGCGGGUCGAGACGGUACGUGGGGUCUGCUAGAGAUGCUCUUAUCUCUGCGGACUUGCGUCGAUCCGAAACUGUCGCAAUGGACAAAGCCGCUACUUCUUCCGCCGGGAAUAAACAAAACGACGUGAGGUGAGCAGCCCACUGCACCGGAAUGACAGCGAGAGGUGAGCAAACUGAUUCUGAAUUCUGAAAGCACCCGGUAUCCUGGAAAACCAACGUCCGCUGCCGCCUGUUUUCCUCUGGCCCUCACGUGUAUAUAACACCAUCGGCUCCCACUCUUCUUCUCAUCAACACAAACAAGUAUCGAUCAGCUUGCUUCACCACCACAAAAUCCACACUCCACUGCUAUCAAGCUUCAAGCAUCAGAGAGUUCAGGCAGACCAUUGAGCGGCAUCAUCUCCUCCAACGCGGCGAGAAGAACAGAGUUGCAGAGAGAUCAUGGCGGGUGCGGCGAAGGCGUCAUGGAUGGUUGCGAUGAGCGUGGGCGCCGUGGAGGCGCUCAAGGAUCAGGCCGGGCUCUGCCGCUGGAACUACGCGCUCCGGUCCAUCCACCGGACUGCCAAGGCCAGGGCCAACGUCCGUGGCGGCGUCUCGCAGGGCGCAAGGCAGCUUCCGGCUUCCGCAGCGGUGGCGGAGAAGCGACGAGCAGAGAAGACCGAAGAGGGGCUGAGGACCGUGAUGUACCUCAGCUGCUGGGGUCCCAAUUAGUACUACUAGCUACCAAGAGGUGUUUUCUCCUAGCUCCAGCAUCUGUUAGAAACUUCUAGCAACAACCACGCCGUGUGACUUGGCUGGUUAAUUCCCUGCCGAU
rnacentral:lncRNA from 1 species